CGAAAGCAGGUCAGGCCUUCCUCUAAGCUUUGGAUCAAGAACAUCCUCCGGGUCUCCCUUCCUUGCUACGUGGCCUUGAACCCAUUGCACCAAGUGAGCUCCCCCGGGCAAAGAAGGAUCCAGUGGGUGCCUUCCAGUUAAUACCUCAAGAAGAACCACUCCGAAGCUGUAGACAUCGCUCUUCUCAAUAAUUGGUUGCAGGGACGCAGGCAGAAGUACACUACAAGUGCCAUAACUUGGCACGCCGGGACACUUAAGUGCCAUAACUUCAAAACGGUACACUUAAGUGCCACUUUUUUUUUCGAGUGGGACACUUAAGUGCCACUUCCGGCGACCCUUGCCGGAAAUCCUACGUGGCAAUAUUUUAUUAUUUUUUUUUGCCUACGUGGCUCGCCGGAGCUCCAAAUCAGCAUAAAAAUUAAAAAAAAAAAUUUAAAAAUUAAAAUUUUUAAUUUUAAAAAAUUUUAAAACUUUUUUUAAAAAAAGAAAAUUUUAAAAAUUUUAAUUUUAAAAAAUUAAAAAAUUUUAAAAAAUAAGAAAAUUUUAAAAAUUUUAAUUUUAAAAAAUUUAAAAAAUUUUAAUUUUAAAAAAUUUAAAAAAUUUUAAUUUUAAAAAAUUUUAAAAAUUUUAAUUUUAAAAAAUUUUAAAAAUUUUAAUUUUAAAAAAUUUUAAAAAUUUUAAUUUUAAAAAAUUAAAAAAUUUUAAAAAAUAAGAAAAUUUUAAAAAUUUUAAUUUUAAAAAAAAUUUAAAAAAAAAAUUUUAAAAAAGAAAAUUUUAAAAAUUUUAAUUUUAAAAAAUUAAAAAAAUUUAAAAAAAAAGAAAAUUUUAAAAAUUUUAAUUUUAAAAAUUUUAAAAAUUUAAAAAAAACUAAAUUUUUUUUUAAAAAAUUUAAAAAAUUUAAGAAAAUAAUAAAAUUUAAAAAAUUUUAAUUUUAAAAAAUUUAAAAAAUUUUAAUUUUAAAAAAUUUAAAAAAUUUAAAAAAUAAUAAUAAGAAAAUUUAAAAAAAUUAAAAAAUUAAAAAAAGGGGGGGGGGGGGAGGCGGCGGCGGCGGAGGUGGCGGUGGUGAGGGAGCCGGCGGUGGCGGCAAGGGAGCCGCCCCGUUCGGCCUCCCACUCCCCACUUUUUUAUAAUUUUUUAUAAUUUUAAUUUUUUUAAAAAAAUUUUCUUAAUUUUUAAAAAAAUUUAAAAUUUUCUUAAAUUAAAAAAAAUUAAAAUUUUUUAAUUUAAAAAAAUAAAUUUUCUUAAUUUUUUUAAAUUUUUUUAAAAUUUUCUUAAUUUUUUAAAAUUUUCUUAAUUUUUUAAAAUUUUCUUAAUUUUUUAAAAUUUUCUUAAUUUUUUAAAAUUUUUAAAUUUUUUAAAAAAUUUUAAAAUUUUCUUAAUUUUUUUUAAUUUUUUUAAUUUUUCUUAUUUUUAAAAUUUUAAAAAUUUUAACAUUUUUAAAAUUUUUCUUAAUUUUUAAAAUUUUUUAAAUUUUCUUAAUUUUAAAAUUUUUUCUUAAUUUUUAAAAUUUUUCUUAAUUUUUAAAAAAAUUUUAAAUUUUUCUUAUUUUUUUUAAAUUUUUUGAAUAUUUUAAAUCUAAUUUAAUUAAUUUAUAUACUAUUAUUUACACGUAGACGUGAAACGGCGUCGUUUUUGCAUUUUCUCUGCCACGUCAGCGUGCAAAACGACGCCGUUUGGGACCGAGCUCGCCGGAAAGUCGCCACGUCAGCUAUUUGGCCGGAUUUUCGCCGGAGUGGCACUUAAGUGUCCCAUUUUACUCCGAUGAUGGCACUUAAGUGUACCAUUUUAAAGUUAUGGCACUUAAGUGUCCCGGCGUGCCAAGUUAUGGCACUCCAGGUGUCCCGCACUCCAGGGACGCAUGCUCUGUAUCACCAAAAGACUAUAAAUGAGUUGUAGUUCAGUGGAAGUACUAUGUAAAUGCGUCAUUGAAACUGAGACUGGACCGUCAAGAUAUCUACCUGGAGCCAUGUAUCCGUAAGAACCAGCGAGGUGAGGUUUAUCACCCUGUUUGGAGAUAUCAUCAUCGUCACAAUUCAAAAUGCGAGCCAAUCCGAAAUCAGCAAGGUAAGGUUCGUAUCGAGGACCCAACAGAAUGUUCAUGGCUUUCACAUCUCCAUGAAGGAUUGGCGGCACACAACUGUGGUGCAAAUACUCAAGUGCGUGUGCUACUCCUAACACUAUAUCAUAUCUAGUCUCCCACUCCGCUCCUCCCCUCCCCGCACCAUGGAGGAGGGAACUCAAGCUUCCAUUCGGAAGGUAGUCAUAAAACAGCAGUUUUAUGUUCUGGCUCGAUCCCCAACCCAGAAGCCGAACGAUGUUCUUGUGUCGGAUAGAACCCAGAGUCUGAAUCUCUGAACCGAAUGCUCCUGACUGUUCUUGGGCCCACAUUUUCUUCACUGCAAGUGUUUCUCCAUUUGGAGUCGUCACUCUGUAUACUAUUCCAGAACUCCCAGUGCCGAUGACGGUGGAUGUUGUUAGACUCUUGACAAUGUCGUCAAUGGAAGAAUUGAGUUUUUGGUAGAGAGUCAUCUCCCAAGUUUCAUCUCCCGGGGGUCUGUUAGUGUGAGCAUGGACGAGCACGUAGAUUCCUAGCAGAAGCAGCACAACAACAGUACUUGCUAGGAUUAGCAUCACUAACUUUGCAGCAGAUCUUGCACUGUUCACAGAUUCGACAUGGCCAUCUGUGUUUGCAGGUUCAGCAGUGAUGUAGAGACCCUUAUUUCCAGCAAGAUCACUAAAGGGUAGAUUUCUGAAAAUUAGGGUAUCUGGUAAUUCACCGGAGAAAUCGUUGAAAGAGAUGUUGAGUGCAACCAGACUUUGGAGGCUUGCCAGGGCAUUCAGAUCGCCCUGUAGCUUGUUGUGUGAGAGGUCAAGGACCGAUAACUUAGUUAGACCAGAAAACUGGGACGGAAUCUUGCCAGAGAAUUGAUUGCAGCUAAGAUUCAGAGAAAUUUCCAGCGAUGGAAUCAAGCCCAGCUCCUUUGGAAUGUCAUCUGAAAAGUUGUUGCUUCCAAGAUCAAGCAUUUGAAGCUUACUGCAAGACAGAAUCUCCGCUGGAAUUCUGCCAGAGAGUUGAUUCCUUUGGAGAUUGAGUUUCGUUAAUUCAGUCAGUGAUCCGAUCUCUUGAGUCAGCAGACCACUUAGCUGAUUGUCGGAGACGUCCACAAAACUUAGGUUCCUUGGUAGCAUAUCUGGCACAGGACCUGUGAGCCCAUUUGAAUGGAGAUCGAUGGACUCGAGAUUCCCACAUCCCGAAAUUGAUGGAGGGAUUCCUCCCGUAAGUUGGUUGUUACUCAGAUCAAGGAAAUUCAAGCUCUUCAGUUUUCCAAUUUCUGCUGGUAUGGGGCCCACGAACCUGUUGCCCUUCAGCCGCAGGCGAUACAUAGCUGUGCAAUUUCCGAUAUCAGGCGGUAUGAAACCAGAUAAAUGGUUGGAGAUCAGCAGCAGCUUGUUGAGAUUCCUUAGUCUGAAUAUCUGUUUCGGUAUUGGACCAGAUAGAUUGUUGUAUGAAAGAUCAAGAGCCUGAAGACCUCGGCAGUUGGAGAGGUUACCAGGAAUGAUGCCGGUGAACUUGUUCUGCCAUGCAAAGAGGAUACUCAAGCUCCUCAAAUUGCCGAUAAGCGAGGGAAUGCUGCCCGAGAGGUCAUUGUUAUCAACCUCCAGAUGAGUCAGUGCAGUACAGUUCAUCAUUUCUAAUGGUAUGGUACCAGAUAACUGGUUGGUGCUCAGCUGCAAUACUUGAAGUUUUGAAAGGUUUCCAAAACUAUCGGGGAUGCUUCGGGUUAAAAGAUUCUCAGACAAAUCUAUAACCGUUAUCUCCGUGCAGCUUCCAAGCUUGUAAGGGAUUGCACCAGCCAAUCUAUUCAGCCACAGAAGCAGGCUCUGGAGCUUUCUUAGCUGCCCAAUUUGCCACGGGAUUGGACCUGAGAGCCAGUUUUGAUACAGGUACAGGUUGUGCAACUGGCUGCAGUUCCCUAUCUCUUCAGGAAUGGGGCCCGACAAUAAAGCCGUGUAUAUGGCUAAAGUGUGAAGCCUUUGCAGGGAUCCAAUCGAUUUAGGAAGACUUCCAGAAAGGCUGGUUUCAGCAAAUCCUAGCAUGACCAAGUUGGUGCAAUUCCCAAUCCCCAAAGGCAGCUCACCUCGGAGAUUCUUAUUCACCCCUGUCCGGAAGACUUCUAACUUGCUCAGUGCUCCAAUGCUUCUUGGUAUCUUGCUACUAAGUUGAUUGUCGUAGAGUGCCAGAUAGGUGAGACUUGAAAGGUUUCCAAUCGCAAUGGGGAUUUUGCCUUCGAGCAAGUUUGUAUUGAGAGAUAGAGUUUGUAGCUUGCUCAGCCUGCAUAUUUCUUCUGGUAUUUCGCCUGAGAGGGAAUUGUCGCUGAGGUCAAUCAGGCUGAGCUCCUGAUAUUCCCCAAACUCUUUUGGGAUUGUGCCUGUAAGGUCUGCCGACGAGAGGAUGAGGCUCUUCAAGGACAUGAGAGACUGGAAAUUGACAGGCAAUGAGCCUUGCAGAUUCACUAAUCUCAAGCUCACUUCAAUCACCUCGCCAUUCGAGUUGCAACGUAUUCCGAACCAUUUACAUGGUGUCGGGUCCAGGGGAUUCCAUGAUCUUAAUGCACCUGCAGAGCUGUUCAGGCUUUCUUUCCAUGUUAAAAGAGCCUGACCCUGAAUAUCGAUACAUUCACAGUAUGGGAAAAGGUGGCGGUUUAUUGACAGAAGUAAGGCGAAAGUGAAGAUGUUUGGAAAGAGCAGGGGGUUCCUUAGAGUUGCAGGCAUUGCCGCAGAAGAACAGUCAAUCUGCUUUGGGAUUGUUGAGGGCGAAACCCCAUGUUUUGUUUAUAUAGAAGAAAACCAGAGGAUCCAGAUCGGGAGUGCCUUCAUUUUCCGAAUAUUAUACUAGAUAGUUAAAUUGUUUAUUAUGGAGAUGGUGACGAAGAUGCGUUGUUUGCCCUUCUUUAAAUCUCUCUCUUUUUGUUUUUCUAUGAAUGUAAAGGAAUGAGAAAAAGUUUAAUGGAAUUAAUGUCCGCUUCAAUUUCUCACUGCUUUGCCGAUUUUUAUAUUUCAAGUAGCUUUUCCUGAGAGAGCAACUUCGAAGCUGCUCACCCAUUACGCUCUGCUUCAUUGUAUAAUCAUCUGUGAUUUUUAAAUACGUUGAGUAGCUUUCAGGCAAGCAACUUCGAUGCUGCUUGCUCAUUACAUCUUGUUUCCUUGUAUGAUCGUCUCAUCUCACCACACCAAGUUUUCCUAUCGCAUUAAAGUCACUCUGCUGAGUUGGUUUUACAUCCAACGAGCAUGAUGGAAAGGCGGGUUUGAAUACAACAGUUCGAGUAUAGAACACUCUCCCAGUGCUUUAGCUAAUAAUAAGCUUUCAAAAUGACCCAUGUUUGCUAAAACAUACACAGUCUAAAGCGAUCCAUAACCCAGUACUACUCUAAUGCAUCUCGCCAAAGUCUGCUGUUAACCGGUUGCUGAUGAAAUUCAAUUCGAGCAGUAUAAAUCAGACAGAAGAAAGGAGGGAACAUGAUCAAGUCUCGGAUUGGCGAACUGGGUCUCACCAGAGGGAGUCCUUAUGAACGUUUUCACAUUGUCUUGUUGGGGAAAGAUGGGACUUUACAGAUCUGAAGAGUCACUGUUUGAGUGAAGCACUAGAGUUCCCGUUUAGUAAUUGUUUAAGAGCAAUAAUGCAUAUCAGCUUCAGUUUGCUUAUUGUGGGGAGUAUGUGUGCGUGCUGUGUGUGCAUGUCAAAUGAAAUGGAGCGGUUAAAUGCACAUGCAGGGAAGGAAAAUGAUGUCUCGGAGCCUUUCGACAUUGCUAGAUACAUGGGAUCCAGAUAUGAUCAUGCUGUCUAGUUGUAGCUUUUGGCCACUAAAGACUAGAAGAAAGCCAAGAGAAUAUUAAAUUAAACACCCAGUUCUUAAAGUGGAAGAGACAAUGUCCCGCCGGCUCCGAAUUGUUUAUUCAUCCCAGCUUAUGUUUUGGUUCAGCACAGCGAUCCGGUGGCAUUGUGUUUACACCCAAAUUACCUCUGGUAUUACGUGUUGGUCACGAGGAGAUAAUAGGUGAAACACUCCAUUUCAUUCAUAAAGUAAAAAGUAAACAACUUUCGUGGAGGUUACUUAAGUUGAGCCUUAAUCGAAUUCUAGAAGUGAGUUCUAAAAUUGAUAGCCAGGUAACUGAUUGCCACGUGUCAAGCUAUGGGGAUAGUACACCAAAUUUGAAGAUUAAGUGAAAUUAGCAUUAAAACUCAACCUAGAACAACUGCUGUGAGAAAUGCGCGUAAAAAUAAGGAGCAGUUAUCUAAUUGAUGGGGAAGUAGCACGGGCAUUGUUGACAAGUCAAGAAGCAGUUACUCAUGGAUAAAGGUGCUAAGAAGGAAUGGAAAAUGUGGAAAAUGUUAGGAGUAAUGCCCAAGGAAAGGAAAUCAACUGAUGGCCACUAGUUCAUCCUUUAAAUACCACAGUUUGUUCAACGAAGAGCCCUCCUGAGCAACACAACAACUAUCUUUACUUUACUUUUACUCUAUCGCAUUUUUAGCUGUAGUUUUCAAGAUUCUCGUUGUUGAUUAAAUUCUAGCGGGCAUCUCUAUUUGGUCCAGCAUUGUCAAUUAAAUUCUAAUGUUGUUCCACAACCCCAGCGUUGUUGAUUAAAGUCUGACGUCGUGUUUCCUAUCUAGGGGUAUUGUUAUUGAUUAGAUUCCAGCUUUAUGCCUAAAAUAAGUUGUGUCAUUGAUUAAAUUCUGACAUAGCUUGAGUCUGAAACAUAGACUAUCUAGUUACUAGUGUCCUAUACAUCAUCGAUUAGAUUCUAGUGUAAUUUGUGCCCAUAAUCAGUAUUCUUUGAGCCUUCCAAGUAUCAAUCGUUAGGGUUAUAUAUACAAGUUAAUAAUAAAUUUUUCCUUUGCAUUUGACAUUCUCUAUCCAAACUCAACAUAGGACCUGAGUCUCCUAUAAUAAAACCAAAAUGCAGCAUUUGGUGAAAGAUUUUUCGCAGGAAUCAAAACUGAUGAGACUUCUUUAGGGCACGCCUAAUGGGACCUCCAUUGCAUUGAGUUGAGAGAUUGCCACGCCACGGACUUGAAGUUGAAUUAACUUGAAUAACGCCACUGACGAGCAACCAACAUCCUCGAAAUGAAGUCACAAAUCAAGUCCAAGAGGAAGGAGUUGAUGCUUCGAGGCAUCGUGUAGAAGAAAGAAGGUAGGCGGACCUCACACCGGUCAUGCUUGUUACCAUGAGGUGAACAAUGGAAGAGACUCAAAAUGAGUUUGCAGAUUACAUGAUCAAGCAAAUUAUUGACAUUGUCAGACCAUUAAUCAUCAAUACUUAUCAUGAGUGUACCCAAGGACAACAUGGAGUCCUAACGAACCCAACUUAGCCUCAAAUCGGACAAGUCCUUAUUUCAACCAGGCAUGUUCCUGUAUCAUCAGCUUCACAAGUAACAUUAAGUAAUGCAAGACAAUCCAUGUCGAUUGGGCUCCCUUAGAAUCCUACAAAGGGGAGAAGUUCUUGUAACCGUGCAAGCAAAUGGGUUUACUAAUACGCAUGUUGUUACAAACGCUAAUCAUAAUCCUACAGUGUUCAUUCCGCUAGUGACUCAACAAAACGCAUUCAUGGAGAAUGCUUCAGGAAUGGGUCUAACUUAGCUAGGCCACAUUCUGAUGCCUCAGACAAGUUCCCCAUCAUGGUGAAAGUCCCUAGAGUUGUAAUGAGCCUAGUUAGGGGACAUGACCAACUGCAACAAGUGAACAUUCAGGCCCAGUUACCCUAAAUGGGGAUGCCAAAUGUCCAACCCCAAGUACCUCUGAAUGUUCAACCCAAAUUUUGCAGCAACUUCUUCUUUCUACUUAGGUGAAUAUCCCUAACCCACAAAUAAAUCCGGUACCUGUAGUGCAACUACAACCAUAGUUCUAUGGGUCUUAGCAGUAAUACUAUUAAGCUCCUCAACAAAAUACAAAUCUAGCAUUACAACCCAAUCAUGUUGUACAAUAGGGCCUAGGGUUUCCUAAUAUGGCUUUAAUUCCAAAUUAGCCAAUAGUGAACCAUUAUUAAGGGGAUAAGGUAGUGACAUUGUAUGUUUGGUUAAUAUUUACAGAAAGCCAUACUCGAAUUGGAUGGAUACUAUACUACACCUGAGGGGUUUCAAUAUACCUAAGUUUACUAUGUUUACUAAUGAAGAGGAUUGGUCAACCUUCGAGCAUGUUAGUUGUUUCUUGGCAUAAUGUGGGGAUGCAACACAUGCAUAUCAUUGAAAGUUAAUGUUAUUCCCUUUAUCUUUAAAAACCGUCUUCACUUGAUAUAUGACAUUACCAUCAAACUCGGUUAAUUUGUGGGAACAAAUGGAAAGACUAUUCAUACCUAGUUCCAAAGAGCUGUCCCAGAAUUGUCAGUCGUUUAUUUAUUGACUAUGAAACAACUGCAUAAUGAGUCAGUCAAUCAGUUCAUUUUUAGGUUUAAGAGAGCCAGUAAGUGCUUGGUCCCCUUGCUUGAGAAAACAUUUGUAGAUCUUGCAUUUGACGAUUUGAAAUUUGAGAUCCAGGAAAGGAUGGUAGGACAACCCUAUUAUGACUUGUUUCAGCUAUCCACCAUAAGCACUAAGUAAGAGAGCUUACUCAAAGAAAAAGACAAGAGACAUGGUAGAAGAGUAGAAGUUCAAUGGGCUGAUGUUGUGGAAGCAGAUGAAGAGCUGGAAUAGGUGGACAUAGCAGAAGUUGCUAUUGCUAAAAUGAUUAUAGAUAAACUAUAUAUUUCUCAAGCAUUAAAGCCAGCCAAAGUAAAGAAGAAGUCCAACCUCAUGCCUAAAGCCAAGGCGCUUGUCUACUACUCUUUCGAUGCCAAAAAGACUGAAUUGAUAUUUGAUCUAUUACUAGCUAAUGGCCAGAUAAGAUUGACUGAAGGGCAGAGUAUACUUGCUAAAGAAGAAUUAGCAGGGAAGAGAUACUAUAAAUGACAUUAUUCAAGGAGUCAUAGUACCAACAAUUGCAUGGUUUUUUUUUAAACAUUCACAAUGCGAUCAAGUAAUGGAAAAUAAAGUUUGUUGAUGACAAGAAUAAAGUUCCCAUGGAAGUUGAUGUGGACCCAUUCCCUGUCAUGACUGGAAUGAUAUCAUCUAAAGUAAGACUCAUACUUGUGGGUCAUCACCAGCUUCGAUUCUAUGUAAGAUGUAAGUGAGUGAUUAGACAGGGGAGGUAUAGUCCCAAGUGCAAGUAUCAUGAAUUUAGUUAAAGGGUUGUUGGUAGGGAACUCAACUCAAGCUUGAUUGCCCUAUUUCAAAAAUGACCAAUGCCAAAUGAGCCUGCUUAUCCUAGUCAACAUUAUGCUUAUCGAAAGAAAAGGGUUGAACUAUGCGAUUCAGAAUCUGGUAAGAAUCAAGGUCCUCAGCUGUGUUUAAAUGUAAGCAGUUGAUCCAGCAACGGAAGUAUUACUCUAGGGGGCAUCACAAUCAAUAUUGCGCAAUGAUUAGUAAUGAGGUACGCAACUUUGGUGCUUCUAACCAAAGAGAACCCGUUGUAUAUGAAAUAAGGCUCUCCAGGAAGUUUCAUACGCAUUGAAUAGCUAAAAAGUCAUUCAAACAAAGAUACAAAGAAGGAGACCCUACUAUUGGGACUCUAGGAAAACAUAGUGGAAAGUAUGGCUAUUAUGUUGCUUAUGGUCCAUCUACUAUUUGCCCUCGAGUGGUUAGUUCAUAUAGAUGAGAAGCAGAGUUCGACGAUGAAGAUAUGAAGCUAACAACUAAUUAUUGUCGUCGACACACUUUAAAGAUACCAAUGAUCCAUAUCUGGAAUUUAUUUUCAGAUAAGGAGUCGUUAUGGUGUAAGUGGGUCCACUCAACCUUCUUAAAAACCAAGAACUUCUAGAUAGUUAAAAAGCCAACCUGUUGCUCCUAGGCGUGGAGAAAAAUCUUACAACUUAGGACAGACGCCGACUUCGCUUCCACUGGAGGUUAGGCAAUGGCUUAUCAGCGUCGCUUUGGUUUGAUAAUUGGUAUCCUAGGGGUCCUUUGAAUUUAUAUUUCAUGGAUCCCCACAUCUAUAGUUCCGGUCUCUCUAGGCAGGCUUUGGUUGCCAAUCUCUUCUCUAAGGAUAGACAAGCUAUCAGAUCAGAGAUUGAGUCUUGGGGUUCGCCACUUCCUUCCUUGUCUGGAACCCAAGAUCGGUUCUGUUGGAGGGAGGACUCGACAGGCUUGUUCUCGGUGGCCUCAGCUUGGGAGGCCUUAAGGCGGAAGAAGGCCAGAGUCAAUUGGCAUUGUCUCAUCUGGAGUAAUGCCAUCCUGCCUCGAUACCAACUGAACCUGUGGCUCAUCACCAAGAGGAGGUUGCCUACACAGUCUCUUCUCAUGUCUUAUGGUAGAAUUGAUGCUGCUUCCUACCCUUUUUGCAAUAAGGUGCCUGAUUCUAUCAAUCAUCUCUUUUUUGGUUGUCGCAUUACCUCGAGUAUUGCCUUCUUCUAGGCUACUAGAUGCAAUCUCCCCUGGACCAAUAGGACUUGGGAGGAGACUCUCAGUUGGGCCAUUACCUUGCUCGUCGGCAAGGAUUUUUAUAAGUGUGUUGCCCGGUUUUCUUUUGGGGCACUGUGUCACAUCAUUUGGAGGAACAAGAAUAAUAUUCUCUUCAGGGGAGAGCCAUUAUCUAUUUCGGCCAUGAAGAAGCAUCUCCUCAAGGUCGUUAAGGAUAAGGCCCUUACCUUUAAGAAUGUUGAGGACUCUCCCAGGAUCAGGCGGAUGCAACACUCGUGGGAUGUGGACCCCAUUAUCUUUGCUUCCUCUGAGUGUAGUCUAACAUAGGCUUAUCGGUGGUUGCUUGGGUGUUUUUGCUAGGCUUGUUUGCCGUUGGCUGUCUAUCGGUCGUUUUGUUGCUUUUUAGCGGCUUCCUUCCACUCUUAAUGAGCGUGUUCAUUUUGAGUGUAAGUUUUUGGAGCCGUGUUGAUUGUACAGUUUGACCCCUAUUAAUAUAUUGAUUACUCUUACCAAAAAGAAAAGAUACCCAUGAUCCACUUGCUUGUAAAUGGUAGAAGGUUGAGAGAGCUCAACCCCUAAAGGACAUCUUAACAUGCACAUAGAGGAGAAGGAUGCAAAGAAAGAAGAAGAUACAUUUGCUCCAAAAGCAACUCGACCAGGUUCGCAUUACUUAGGUCAAACCCAUUAUAAUGCCAACCCAUAAACCCAAAAGGGUUAAGGCAAAGAAUUUGUUUGGAGGCGAAAGCCAAAGGAUGGUGAUACAGCUCCUAACCAAGCUAGAAGAUUGGCCAUAAAAGCAGUUGCUCAAUCACCGAAGCUAAAGGGGAGUUCCAUAUCAAGGUCAGUAUCACCAUUAAGCUCAUGUAUGGUACAAGCAAAACUCCCUAAUGAAUUCUGCACGUCCCCAUUUGCUACAAAAUUAUGUGAGGAAAUCCUCGCAGAUGAAAAGGAGGGAGUGGAGUUCUAUUUUGAUGUUGAAGAAAUAAUGGAAUUUGGAAAAACCUAUGGCACAAAAUUCGAAUCAUUUGAGAGCAUUAAAUAUUAAUGCCGGGAUUAAUGGUCGGCCUACAUCUCGAGUGCUGGUUGAUGAAAGGGUCUACCUUGAAUCUCAUCCCCUAUCAUUUCUACAAGAAAAUAGGGAAAAAAGACAAUGAUAUUACCCCAUCAAAUAUUCAGUUGUUAGGCUGGAUGUCUUAGACAUUAAAGAAAUAUUCAUGGUUGAUCCAAUUGUGAGAUCCAAGACUUCUAAGACUUCUUUCUGUGUCGUCAACGUUGAUGGAUCAUACAAUUUAUUACUUGGAAGAGAUUGGAUUCAUGGUAACCAAUGCAUUUCAUCGACUUUCCAUGAGAUGCUAGCAUUUUGGAAUGGUAACAAGGUAGAAUAUGUUAGAGCAAAUACCUAGCCGCAAAUGGUUUGGUCACAAGCGACAAGGGGAUGCCAAGGGCAUCGGAGGACAAUAUCUGUGUAAGCAGACCCUCACUAAUAGAUUCUAACAACAUUGCAUUUUGCUGCUUUGAUAAGGAAAUAGUUCAAAUGGGUCCCAAAAAAUCAGCUAGCAGAGCAAUUUGAUAAAUUUGUUUAUUUAGAACCUUAUGUUAUUAAAAGACCCCACUAGGAGGUUUUAGCCUAUAGGAUCAAACUAGCAAAGUAGGAUGCUAAAGCUGUCAAAGGAAUUCUAGAGUUCAAAAAAUUCAUCCAUCAAAGAUGAUGAUAAGGUGAUUGAAUCCCAAGACACAUUAGAAGAGUUUAAUCUAGGUGUAGAAACUGAUUGAUGCCCCAUUUAUGUAAGUGCCUUAUUGAAUAUUGAAUUCAAAGGUCCAUUAAUAGACUUGUUAAGGAAAUACAAAAAUUGUUUUACUUGAAGUUAGGGGUGUCAGGAACCGAACCGAACCGAACUGAAAAAUUCGGUUUUUUUGGUUUGGUUCGGUUCUCAUUAAAAACCAAUAUAUUUUUUUUAUCGGUUUGAUUUUUAUUGGUUAACCAAACUGAACCGAACCACAAACCGAUAAAAUUUGUCCUCUCCCGUUUCGCCCAAAGCGCUCCAUAACCUGAAAUUGAAGUUCCUCCGCAAGCUACAUUCCUGGGCUCGCUUCUCAGGUGGGUCGCGCUCGAGGAGGCUUGGCUACAAUGGCAUGGUAGUGAACAACUUCGUGUUUCAUGCUUCUCCUGGUCGUGUUGAGGUAGAGGCAAAUGUAAGAGUUUUUCUAACGUGGACUAAAAUGGAGGGUUCAAGUGUCAAGAGCGAAGGCAUUGAGAGAAGGAGAGAUGGGUUUUGCGGGAAAAUUGGUGAAGUUGGGAUUUUUGCGGAUUUGAUCGAGGAAGAGAGGCGGGAGAGCAGCUCAAGCUCUGCUUUUUUGACAUCAGAAGCGACGGGGGAUGAAGAGCAGAGUCAGAACAGCUCCGAGGUUUUGUACUCGCGGCCUCCUGUACUGCAUUGAUCGGUGGACAAAGCUCUGGCGUCGGAUUGUGCUAGUGAUAAUGGCGUCGUGGAAGAUGCAGAGAAAUUCCACUCCAGUGACAAAAAGUUGGAGAAACACGGCUCUGCAAUUUCAAGUUUGAACCAAGACAAAAACCGAAGCUGAAAUUUAUGUAAUAAAUUUUGUUUAUUUUGAUGUUAUUACUGAUUAGUAAUUACUGUUUGGUUAAUGGGGGACGAAGAAGAACGCAAGGGAGAAGAAGAUUUAGGGAAUAAAAAAAUUGAAAAUAAAAAAGAGAAAGAAUUGAAAACCAAAAAAACAAAAGCUAAAAGCUAAAAACCAAAAACCGAAAAAUCGAACCGAACCGAACCGAACCGAAAUUUCGGUUCGGUUCGGAAGAUUUUUUUAAUGGUUCGAUUUAAAAAAAAAAAAACUGAAUCGAACCAAACCGUUGACACCCCUACUUGAGAUUAUCAAGAAAUGCCUGGAUUGGGCAGAGAUAUAGUUGAGUAUCGACUACCCAUUUAGGACGCUUUACAACAGAAGUCAUGCAAAAGGUUAAAGAAAAAAUAGAAAGACUGCUCGCGACAGGCUUUAUAAGAACAACAUGGUACGUUGAAUGGUUGUUGAAUAUUGUCUCGAUAAAGAAGAGGAACAGGAAGCUAAGAGUGUACAUAGACUUCUGCGAUUUAAAUGUGGCAACACCCAAGGAUGAUUAUCAAAUGCUGAUGGCUGAUAUACUUGUUGACUCAGCCUUUGACAACAAAAUUAUGUCACUUAUGGACAAUCAUUCAGGCUAUAACCAAAUAUUCAUAGUAGAAGAAGAUGUCCAUAAAACUGCAUUCAGAUGUCCAUAAGCAAUUGGUACUUUGGAGGUCAUGCCAUUUGGACUAAAGAAUGCAGACGCAACCUACUAGAGGGCCAUGAACUUCAUUUUCCAUGACAUGAUAGGUGACCUCAUAGAGGUUUAUAUUGAUGACGUCAUCGUCAAAUCAAACUGAGUAAGUCAUUUACUUCAUUUAGAGCAGAUUUUUGCUAGAAUGAGGAAGUGUAAAUUAAAAUGAAUCCUCUGCAACGUGCUUUUGGAGUUAAAGUUGGUAUUUUCUUAGUAUUCUUAGUUAAUCAAAGAGGGAUUGAAGUAGAUAAAAAUAAGGCUAAGGCAAUUCUAGAGUUGACACCAUCAACUGUGAAAAUAUAGCUUCAAAUGAUAUUACGAAAGACAAAUUUUUUGCAUCAAUUUUUUCCUGGCCUAUCAGGAAAGUUUGAAGUGUUUUCAUCAUUAUUGAAGCUUAACAAUCAAGAUGAGUUUAUGUGGGAAGACAAGCAUUAACAUGCAUUCGACUAAAUAAAAAUGUAUCUCUGUAACCCUUCAUAUUUGACGUCACCUAAGGUAGGUAAGCCGUUAAAACUAUAUUUGUCGGCCACCGAUACCACAAUCGGAUGCAUGCUGGCACAAUAAAUUAUAAGGGGAAAGAACAGGCAUGUUAUUAUUUGAGUUGAAUGCUGAUUGAUGCAGAGACAUGAUACAUAGCCAUUGAGAAGCUUUGCUUAUCAUUAUAUUAUGCUUGUACAUGUGAUAUGUGAAACGGAGGUAAUCAAGUAAAUGUUAACUCAACCAACAAUAAAGGGUCGAAUUGCAAAAUGUGCAUUUACACUCUUUGGAAUUAACCUAGUAUACAUCCCGCCUAAGGCAGUAAAAGGACAAGCAGUAGCAGAUUUUAUUACGAAAUAUCUAGGCAUCCAACUUGAAGAUCAUUUAAAAGGGUGUGUGCAAUUAGUUCCUUGGACAUUAUACUUUGAUGGGUCAAGUGUAGCUAGUUCAGUAGGAGCUGGAGUUUUGAUAGUUUCUCUCCAUGGACAUAGAUCCAAAAUGAUGUUUAAGUUGGAUUUCAAUUGUUUGAAUAAUCAAUGUUAAAUAUGUCUCGAGUUUAAGCCCGAAGCCAAAAAGCAAAAUUUUGAAAUAAAUUGAAAUAAAAGAAAGAUUGGUGUAUUUGGAAGUUUGGCUUGAAAUAGGAAAGUCCAAACUUGGACUUGGACGUGCGAACCAACACAAAAGAAAAAAAAAAAGAGGAAGAAGUCCUCUCCUCUGCGCGUGAAGAUCUCCACGUGAAGUCAAGAUAGGAAAGUAGUGGGGCCCAAGGUCAAAGGUUUGACCUUGGGCACACCCACGUAUAAAAAGGAAUUUUUACGUAGGUUUUUUUUUACUUCUUCUUUUUCGUUGGUUGGGUUGCCGGCCAAAAACCCUAUGUAGAAGUCGCAGAAGGAAGCCGCGAAAGAGGUCUUCUUUUCGGGGUGUUGCUGUUGCACCCGUACGAGAGAAAAUGAGGAGCCGCAUAUCUUCAAGCUGAAGCGCGAUCAAGAAAAUGAGUUCUUUUUCAGCGUUUGUUUUUGAGCUUGUGUGAUAAUUUUGUGCCGUGACUUGGGUUUGGAUUAAAUUAGGGUUUGGGAAACAUCGAGAGAGUGUUUGAGUGACUUGAGUAUGUAAUCUCCUUAUAUCGCUUGAUCUAUAUUGAAAUUCGCUGCUGCUUUCUUUCCCCGUGGACGUAGGUCUUUAUGACUGAACCAUGUAAAUCCGGUGUCCGAUUUAUUUUUCUUCUUCCGUCUAUAUUUUGUUCGAUCGCUUGCCCCAUUGCAACAAUCAAGCUGAAUACAAAGCAUCAAUUGUUGGCCUAAACAUUUUGGUUGACAUGAAGGCACGGUUUAUAAAGGUAAUUGGUGACUCCUAGUAGGUUAUAAGACAAUUGUCUGGAAAAUAUCAAUGCCUUAAUGAAAAAUAUUAUCUCUCCCUCUUGGAUCACUUUGAUGAUCAUGAGUUAGUUCAUGUUAAAAGAAAUCAAAAUGUGGAAGCCAAUAAGUUAAUUCAAAUGGCUUCCAAUUAUAAGAUAUCUAAAGAACUAGUAGAUCAUACCAUUACCCAGGUGAGAACAUUACCUUCGAUUGAUAAUAGGAUCAUGUUGAUUUAAGAUACACAGGUUCCAAGUAACGAAAUAAUGAGCCAAGAUUGGAGAAUCCCAUUUAUUGAGUAUUUGAAAAAUCAAGUUGCCAAUGACAAAAAUUUUAAAAGAAAAACUAUUAGAUAUUUGUUGAGUGGUGAUGAUCUGUAUCGGAAUACUAAAGAUAGUCAACUAUUGAAUUGUUUAGGAAAACAUGAGUCUAUGCUCAUAAUGGCCAAGGUACGUGAAGCAUAUGUGGUGCACAUCAAGCUGGGGUCAAAAUGGAAUGGCCAUUGCAAUGAUUUAUGAAGGCAAUUGGUGACUCCACCGGGUAAUAAGACACUCACAUAGGUGGCUGCUGAACCUAGUAUAGCUAUAAUAUCCACCUCGUCCAAAUGAUAGCGAUAUUUGUUAAAUAUAUUGUGAUAGUCUUCAGAAAAACUUUGAAAUUUCUCUCUAAGCUCUCGAGGAAGGAUUGCGCUAAUCUCAUUACUGUUAUCACCAAGUUGAUUGGACAGAGCCUUAAAUUAAUGAAAAGUUUCCUGAUUAAGUAGAAUUUUUGCAAAUUCCUCCCAUCAAAAGAUCUAUGAACUUUGAUAGUGCAAACCUUAUCUUGUCCUUGUUUAAAGAACUAAGGAUAUGACUAGGGGAUAGACCAUAGGGGUUGGCACCUAAAACAAUGUUGGCCCUAUUCAUUGCUUCUAAAUUCUAAUGAUGGAGAAGUUGUGUUUGCUUGAGACUUAGUUUAAGAAGAUGUGUCCACUCGAGCCUCAAUCUAAGAAGCUGAUGAAGGAGUCUAAAUAGCAGAGAUAGUGGAAACAGAACUAAGAGGCUCAAUGGCAGAGACAACAAGUAUAAGAUUAGCUGAAAAUACGAGUUUGGUUGUCAAACCAAACGGGCAAUAGAAUGAUUAAUAAGGAUAAAGUGAGAUAUAUAUUAGGGCUUGGACAUGGAGCUGAUGCGGUCAAAACAAGUGUUGAAGUAACAGGAGCUUCGGCAUGUUCAAUGCUACUAGCUGUAAUGGUAGGUUCAACUUAAGUACAUUCAAUUUGUUAGUUAACAUGAUGGGUUCAGCUAUCAUCCAUAAACAAAAGGUUAUUGCAGAGUACAUAAUAUAUCUAUAGCUAAGUUAUAAUUAAAUAGAACUUACAGUAAAUAACUAGUGCAAGAGGAUUGGGAUUGUCAUGCUUCAAUUGAUAUGGAGAGCAGAUGAUGGGAUUGGUAGAAAUAGCAUCGUCAAUGAUGGUAGAAAGCUUUGUUGGAGGAGUAGAAAUGGUUGGAACAUAAUCUAUAGGAGUCUUUUCCAAAGUGAAGGCUUUAUUUGAUUUGGGCUUAAGGCCCGUCCGCCCAAGUUGGGCCCAGAAAGCCCGGCCCACGGGAAUAGGGCCAGUGGAAAGAAGGGGGUAUAAAAGGGAGGAGAGAGAGAGAGAAAAUGUACCGUUUAAUCAAAAAGAAACGACGUACGCUUCUCUCCCUCCCGCUCUCUGUUGUUUUCCUCCAAAGGCAAACAGUGACUCCCGAAGGCGUUUUUGCUUCACCGGAUCAACAGGACUAAGAUUUCUCUUCCUCCAUUGGCGUCGGUGUUUAAUCUGUGGCUAAAAGGUACGCUCGAAUCCGUGGUGUGCUUUAGGAUCGGUGAUGCGUGUUCGUUUUCCCGGGCUUGUCUUCCGCUUGAGUUUAGGGGUUCGAUUUAGUGUCGAAUCCGGUUUUUCAGGGAUCAGUCAUUCCCAACAUUGGUAUCAGAGCCCUAGUUCACGUUUUCCCGAUCAAUUUGAUGUUUUUUGUUUGAGUUUUCGCGAAGAAACUCUCGGCCGUACGGAUCGGGACAAAAAUCCCGACACCCGAGCGUUCUUCGGCCUUUUUACUGAGUUUUCGUAUGUCGAAACUGUUUUCUGAUUGCAUAGGAAGAAGUGCGACGUCGAGACGAGUCCGGCGAUGUGUUGACCGCCGCCGGGCGCCGCCGCAUGCGCCCACACGCGCGGCCGGAACGCGCUAUGCGUGGGCGCGACGCGCCCGAAGCGCUGGCAUUGGCCAGCGCGUGUGGUGCACGCGCGGCCGGAAGGCGCUGCGCGUGGGCGCGACGCGCCGAAGCGCCGGUCGGCGAACCGGCGCGUGCACGCCGCCGGCGGGCGAACUGGCACGCGCCGAUCCGCGGACCGACGCGUGCUGACGUCACGUGAUGACGUCACCGUGACGUCAUCCAACGGUCGGUAACCGUUCAAUGACGUCAUCACUGACGUCUUUUCGCCGAACGGUCACCGGCCGGCGACCCGACCCACCGGAGACCAAGGCACGUGGUAGGCACGUGCGGAUGACGUCUGCAUGACGUCAUCCCCCGCACGCGCGCGGCACGUGCGUCGAUCUGCGCGAGCGGUCCGACCGGCCCGAUCGGUCCGUCCGGUCCGACCGGUCCGACGACCGACGACCGUUGACCCUCUGACCGUUGACCGUGACCGUUGACUUUAACCGUUGACCCUCUGACCGUUGACCGUGACCGUUGACUGUGACCGUUGAUCGUUGACCCAAAAAAAAAAAAAAGGAGAAUGUGUUUCUUUUUCAAUUAAGUCUAUGUGGAUUAUAAUGUGAUCCCUUAUUUGUUCUGCAUUUGUUGCAGGAACAAUGCCUCCCUUGAGGUUGCGCACACCUAUUCGCGCAGUUACUGAUGAACAAAAGGAUAGGCUGUCUAAGUUGAUAGCUGAGCUGACUGAUCAUCGAUGGGAGAGAGGUGACUUAAUUGAUCAUGUCCUUGAAGUCAACGGGAAAAUUCAACAGGUCGUAUGGAAUGGUCGUCCUAUGUCACAGUCAGAGAUGGUGCGAUUUUUCAUAAACACUCUUCCACCUGAAUGGCAAGAUGUGUUGAAUCGCAUAUGGGAUGUCAACGGAGCUGCUUCCUAUAAGAAAAUUGUGAUGGAUUUUGUAAAUGAAUAUUACUGUAUUGUUUCAAGGGAAAAUAUCAAGAAAUUGAACAAAAGAGGAUCUUUCCCAGUUCGUGUGCUGACUUGGUGUUAGUUGUAUUGGCUGAUAUGUGUUAAGUGUGAUUUGUGGACAUAUUAUGUAAUGAUUACUACCUAAUUGUGUUAAUUGAAAGCAUUAUUGUUUUUAUUGGAUGUUCUAUUAUAUAUUGCUUUCUAUUAUUGCUGGUUGCUGUGGGUAAUUAGCUGUGGGUAGUUUUAGAAGUUUUUGUAGCUUCAUAGAAUUGAUUUUGCAUAAGACAAUUAUAUUGAUGAUAGUUUAAAGUUAGGAUUUUGGAGGAUGAUUGGAAACAUAGUGACCUUUUGAUUCUGAAACCUUACUUGAAAUUAUUCAUUAAUAUGAUGGGUUUAUGUAAAUAGGGAUGCAUAAAUGAUAGGCAUUAAUAAUUCAUGCAUAUUUGUCUGAUUUGUUCAGAUCAAUGGCUUCAGCCACAAAGAGCAUAGUUGCCGAGUUGAACAAAGGUGAAAAGCUCAAUGGAGACAACUAUGAAAUUUGGCAAAUGAAAAUCCAGUAUGUGCUGGAAGAGCAAGAAGCACUUGAGGCUCUUGUCAUGACCAUGGUAGAACCCGAAGAGGGAACCACUGCACAGCACAAAAGAGACAAAGAAGCUUUUUCUGCGUGGAAAAGAAUGAACUCUCUAGCUCGCAUCACGUUGCUGAGCAGCAUGGAAAAUGACGUCAUGCGAGAGUUUCGGCGUUUUGACAAUGCCAAGGAAAUGUGGGAGGCAUUGGCAGCUAGAUUUGGUCAUACUUCGGUGACUAGACUGAGGCAGCUCACUAUCAGGUUUGACUCUUAUAAGAAACCUCAUGGUCAGACCAUGAAGCAACAUCUUAGAAAGAUGUCAAACAUGAUAACUGAGCUGAGAGAUGCUGGCCAUGUCCUCACAGAUGAGCAGCAGGUGCAAGCAGUGAUUCGUUCCUUGCCUCAAAGUUGGGAGCACAUGAAGGUGCACCUGACUCACAAUGAAAAUAUCAAAACCUUUGAGGAUGCAAUGCGUCAUCUUGAGCUGGAAGAGGACCGCCUGUUGGCGGCUAAGCCGGAUGCUGAACUUUAUCAUGCUAGUUCUAGCUCAAAUGGAGCUUCGAGCUCUAAGCGCAAGCGCCCUAACUGGUUUGAUAAGGGAAAAGGCAAGGAAGAAGCAGGUCCUUCAGGGAAGAAACCCAAGUUUAACCAACAUGAAAGAGGGAAGCGUCCCCGCAUGAAAAAGCUUGCAAGGGUGAAAUGCUACAACUGUGACAAGAAGGGUCACUAUGCUCGCGACUGUCGUGAGCCAAAGAAGGUAUGCACCCCUUGUACUUUUCAGAACUUUACUUUUGUGUCGAGUUCUGUAUUCUUAACUGAGUCUAAUCCUUUGUGGACUGUGGAUUCAGGAGCGACGGACCAUGUAGCGAAGGAUAGAGGAUCCUUCGUGGAAUUCCGACGAGUACCAACUGGAACUAAGUGGAUCUAUGUGGGAAACAACUCCAGAGCUGAAGUGAAAGGAAUUGGCACAUGCCAACUGAAUAUUCGUGGUGGACGCACUUUGUUCCUUCAUGAUGUGUUGUAUGCUCCGGAGAUUCGUCGGAAUUUAGUGUCUGUAUUAGUGUUGGUUAAAUUAGGUUUUAAUAUGAACUUCUGUAAUAGAGGUGUGAAUUUGUUUUUGGAUACAAAUUACUAUGGUUGUGGUUAUUUUCUGGAUGGUUUUAUUGUAUUAGAUAUUGAUUAUGUUAAUACCAAUGUUUGUUAUUCCCUUCUCACGUCUCCUAAUAAAUAUGAUAAUGAUGUGAAUGUGUGGCAUGCUAGAUUUGGUCACAUUGGCCAACAGCGUAUGAAUAGACUAGCCAAAGAGGGCUUGUUGGGCAAUAUUGAAAAAGUCGAUUUGUCCAUAUGUAAGCAUUGCCUAGAAGGGAAAACGACAAGGAAACCAUUUGGAAAAGGAAAAAGAGCUGAAUUUCCUCUGCAUUUAAUCCAUACUGAUAUCUGUGGUCCAAUGAAUGUGAAAGGAAGGCAUGGGGCUGUUUAUUUCAUCACUUUUAUAGAUGAUUACACUCGAUUUGGAUAUGUCUAUUUGAUUUCUCAUAAAUCUGAAGCAAUAAGUUGUUUCAAAAGGUUUAUGAACCUGGUAGAGAAUCAAUUAGACAAGAAAAUAAAAGCAUUGAGAUCCGAUCGAGGUCGAGAAUAUUUAUCUGAUGAGUUCAGAAAAUUAUGUGAUGAAAAAGGAAUAGAAAGACAGUUGUCUAUUCCAUAUACUCCUCAACAAAAUGGUGUUGCAGAGAGAAGAAACAUAACCCUACUGGAAAUGGUUAGGUCCAUGAUGGCGCAUGCUAACUUACCCAUUACCUUUUGGAGUGAUGCUUUGUUAACUGCUGCCUAUAUACUUAACCGUGUGCCUUCCAAAUCAGUUACUUCCACUCCAUAUGAGUUAUGGACGGGUAGAAAACCAGACUUAAGUUUUCUUAAGCCAUGGGGUUGUGCUGCCUACACACAUGAGUCCUCUCACAAGUUUGGGAAAUUGGGUCCUAGAGGAAAGAAGAGUAUUUUCAUAAGAUACUCGGAACACUCGAAAGGGUAUGUGUUCAUUGGUGAGCAGGAAAGUGGGAGUAUAACUGAAUUUGAAUCACGAGAUGUCACAUUCUUAGAGGAUGAGUUUCCUAAGAAGGGCGAAAUAAGGGAAGAUUGUUCCCUAUUUGAAACCUUGAAUCAAGAUAAUGACCUUAGUGGACUUCGUCCAAGUGGGAGUAAUAUGAGAAGUGAUGAAUUAAAUUCAACUCAUUCUCAAUUGCAACCACGUGAUGAGAUGACAUCAUCAUUACCUAAUCCAAGUGGGAGCAUGAUGGGGGAUGAUGUGCAAAGUGUACAAUCUCCCAUACGGCGAACAAGUCGCCAAAGUAUUCCCCGUCGACGUUUUGGCAUUGAAGGGGAAACUUUUAUAGUUGCUCCACAAGAUGAGGAUGAGCCAAGAAAUAUUAAUGAGGCUUUGAAUUGCCCUAGUAAGGAAAAAUGGAUCAAUGCAAUGGAAGAGGAAAUGGAGUCAAUGAAAUCAAACCAAGUCUGGGAACUGGUUGAUCUUCCGAAAGGACGCAGAGCUAUUGGGAACAAAUGGGUUCUCAAAAUAAAGCGAAAGGCUGAUGGCUCGAUUGAAAGGCAUAAGGCUCGCCUUGUGGCGAAGGGGUAUAAUCAACAGGAAGGAAUUGAUUAUGAAGAUAUGUUUUCUCCUGUAGUGAGAUUUACCUCGAUUCGCAUUAUUCUGGCAAUAGUGGCUAGUCUGGAUCUUGAGUUACAUCAAAUGGAUGUAAAGACUGCUUUCCUCAAUGGAGAAUUAGAGGAAGAAAUAUAUGGAACAACCUGCUGGUUUCAUAAUGGAAGGCCAAGAAGAAAAGGUAUGUCGACUUUGGGGGUCGAUAUAUGGCCUUAAGCAGUCGUCAAGACAAUGGUAUAUGCGUUUUCAUAAUGCCAUAAUGGCAUAUGAGUUUACAAUGAUUGAUGAGGAUCAUUGUGUAUAUAUCAAAAGAUCCAAGGAUCAAUUUGUGAUCAUAUCAUUAUAUGUUGAUGAUAUACUGAUUGCCAGAAGCAAUAUGGAGUUGGUUAAUACUGUCAAGAGAUAGUUGUCUUCCAACUUUGAGAUGAAUGAUAUGGGAUUGUAAACCCAUAAACACUCAUAUUGCAAAAGGUGAAGGAUUGAGCCAUAGACUGUGUCCAAGGACUCCACAAGAGAAGGAACAAAUGAAACAUGUUCCUUAUGCUAGUGCUGUUGGGAGCUUGAUGUAUGAUAUGAUGUGUACAAGACCUGACAUAUGUUAUGUAGUUGGAAUGGUGAGCAGAUACCAAUCCAAUCCAGGUCAAGUACGUUGGAAAGCCGUUAAAAGAAUACUAAGGUAUCUAAAGGGGACUGCUGAUUAUACGCUGAGUUAUUAUGGAAAGGAUCUGCGACUCUAAGGCUAUUCUGAUGAUGAUUGGGGAGGAGAUUUAAAUAAAAGGAAAUCUACCUCUAGGUUUGUUCUCUUACCGAAUAAUGGCACCAUAUGUUGGAGCAGUAAGAAACAAAAGUGUAUAGCCUUGUCCACGAUGUAAGUUGAGUUCGUGGCAUUAUCAGCAGCAGUGUAAGAAAGUGUUUGGCUUAAGAGAUUUUUUGGAUCAUUUUGGUGUUAUUGGAAGUGCUGCAAAUUAAUUGUUGGUUAACUGCGAUAGCCAAGCAGCAAAAGCGUAUACCAAAGAUCCAAAAUAUCAUGGUAAGACCAAACAUAUAGAUACCAAGUAUAAUCUUGUCAAGGAUAUGGUUGCAUGAAAAGAUGUGAACUUAGAAUACAUACUACGCAUAGAAUGGUAGCAGAUCCUAUGACAAAGCCAAUACCUAGAGAUGUGUUUUGUGGCCAUAUGAAAUCUCUAGGAUUGCGUAGAAGCUAAUGUACUGAAUAUUGUAAUUUCCCUAAGUGUUCACAUUUGAUGAAUUUGUGUUUUCAUCAUUAAUGCCUAUGAAUCUUUGUAUGAUCUUUAUGCAUCUUAAUACUUAGUGUAUUAUUUUAAGUUGAGAAGUAUGCCGGACAGAUAAAAGAUUAGCCCACUCACACGGGUAAUCGCCUCUGUUUACUGUGUGAUAAAUAGAGAUGAGACUGAUUUUAAGCUUAUUAUCUAGGUGAUAAUCGAGAGCUCAAGCUUAAAAAAACAUAUGUCGCCUUAACUGAGUGUUAAGAUGAGGACAUAAUACUUACGAUGUCCGAAAGUAAAAUACCCCACAUAUUUUACUUUAUCUGUCUAAGAUGCCAGAUGUGAGUUCUGAUGAAUUUUGUAAAAGAGUAGGUACGUGAACUCAAGUUAGACAUUAGGUAUGUCUGAACUAUCAUCUGUACGGUAUUGAAAGGUGUAGACAUACGCUCCAUGGGAAAGGAGUAAAUGCCGUAAUACGUAUUUCAUACUACGUAUGCAUGAGACGACCAAUAAGAGUGGCAAAAAGUUUGAUCUCAACUUUUAUGAUGUGUGAGACUCUUGAGGAAAAGAGUUCCUCAAUUUUUAGUCCCCUCAGGACUCUUACUUAUUCUCAAGAUUUCUAUUUAGUGUUUGCUAUCUUAGGAUGUUGCCAAUGGUCAUGAGAUGAUUCGAUCUAAUGGGGCAUUUCUAGAAAAGCAAGCUGGACUGAAAUUGAGAGUUUGAAGGAAAGAGGAAGAUCGAUUUUGGAGAAUCACAUUGUAGUUUUUGUAUUCACUGGUCGACCAAUUAUGAGUGUCUUUGUGAUAAUUAUAAUUGUGAAUACAAUAUAUAUAUAUAUAUAUAUAUAUAUAUAUAUAUCAUGUUUAAAAGAGAUCAAGGGAGAUAUAGAUGUGAUCAAUCGAUCUAGGGUACUGCAUACUAAAUCUACUCAAAGUGUGACGCCCAAUUAUGAGCUGCUACAUAUUCCUAACAGAUAUAUAGCAACGAGCUCUCAAAGUAUGCUGGUCGCACGGAUUAUUCACCGGUAUGAAAGUUGAAGAGAGGUAAAGAGAAUCCUGUUCGGCCCACCAUGUGCGAGUAGGAGAUGAAGGCUUUAUUUGAUUUGGGCUUAAGGCCCGUCCGCCCAAGUUGGGCCCAGAAAGCCCGGCCCACGGGAAUAGGGCCAGUGGAAAGAAGGGGGUAUAAAAGGGAGGAGAGAGAGAGAGAGAGAGAAAAGGUACCGUUUAAUCAAAAAGAAACGACGUACGCUUCUCUCCCUCCCGCUCUCUGUUGUUUUCCUCCAAAGGCAAAUAGUGACUCCCGAAGGCGUUUUUGCUUCACCGGAUCAACAGGACUAAGAUUUCUCUUCCUCCAUUGGCGUCGGUGUUUAAUCUGUGGCUAAAAGGUACGCUCGAAUCCGUGGUGUGCUUUAGGAUCGGUGAUGCAUGUUCGUUUUCCCGGGCUUGUCUUCCGCUUGAGUUUAGGGGUUCGAUUUAGUGUCGAAUCCGGUUUUUCGGGGAUCAGUCAUUCCCAACACAAAGAAAUGGAGAUUGGUGAAGUAUUAAUUGCGAAAAAUCUUCUUAAAGGAGCAAGAGUAGUUGACGAGAGAUGACAGGAAGAACUUUAAGUUGCUUCUUUAAAGAAAUAGGGGAAGUUUUUUUUUUUUUUUCAUUUUCUUCAGUAGCCAUGCCAAUGGUUCUUUAUCUGAAUUUGAAGUAUACAUCCUCUCAUAAGUGAAAGAUAUAUACAUAGAAGAAAAAACAUGGAGGGCUUAUAGAUAGAGAUAAGGUACCUUCAUCCGAGUCAUCAGGAAGGUUGAUGGUGUCAUUGUUGGGUCUUUCAGGCUCACUAGGGCCAGAUAGAAGCUCAAGGAGAAGGUUACUCGAUUGAAGUAAAGGAUUACCGAGUAGAGUAUUGUUAUCAAGUGUGGCCAGAGCACAAAAUGAGUCAAGAUUGGUGGUUAUAUGACCUUGUUUUGGUUUUUCCUUACAUUGAAUUCGAUCAAUUGCUAUUGCAAUAUCAUCUUUGUAAGGACCUUCAUGAGUAAAGUUAACCCACCAUGUCAUCCAAUUAGGGCUGUGAUGAGGACAAGGUUGGAAGACUCUGUUUAGGUCUUGCGAGUAGCUAUCGUACAUAAUCUUAGUUAUCCUGAAUAGCAAGCUAAAGGGUUGCGAUCUUCCAAAUUAUAUUCCUUCUUCUUUGACCGAGAAAAUUCCAUCGGGUGAAGGACAUGCAUGGGAAUAGCUUGGAAGAAGCCGAAUUGUCUUGUACAGUAAUAAGGAGAAUAUGCUUUAAACCCCUAAUAAAAUCAGUCAUUCACAGAUAGUUAUAAUGGAAGAUCUAAUAGGAACAACACAUGAACCUAUAAGUCUUGGAAGGGGCUCAGGUUAUCAACAUUGAAAAAGUAGUAGUGCUCCUCAUUGUCAUAAAGGAAAAAUUCAAUGUCCCUACAAUCAACUUCCAAGGUGUCUUUAAAAUAAUGAAGAAAGGAAGAGAUGCCUAAAGGAACCUUCUUAGGUAGGCUAUUUAAGAAUCGAUAGCCUAGAUGAGGCCUCCUAGGUAUUGCACCUAACAAGGGGUAAUAAUGAAGAUUACGAGAGCCUAUAUCAAAAAGAAAUUCAAGAUAAAGAGACAUUCAUGCUUGUAAAAUCUAGAAAGGACUAAAGAUGACAUCACUCUUUUCAGCCUUCAUUACCAGUGAAGUAUGGGUAAACCCCUUAUACAGAGAAGCUAAAAGAACUAGAGCGAGGGCAAUGCAUCUACCAUACGCGAGAUUUGCAGCUAGUUGGAAAUAAUCCUUAUCAAUUUUAAGCGUGGGAUAGCAGAAAAUGUACCUUGAUAGCCAGUAUAAUAUGAAAGUAAUACGUUCCUUUUCAUCGAUAGGACCAAUUGCUCUGCCAUACCGUUCAAGGAACUUAUGGUAAGUAAGGACUCCAUCUGGGAUUAUAAAAGAGAUAUCAACUACAGACAAUUGCUUUGCAGAAUGGCCAAUCAACUAAGAACCUGCUAUGGUAUACAUGUCUAGAAGGUUAAUAGUUAUGGGUCCCCAGGAGAAAAAGAAACAAUUAGUCAAGGGGGACCAAAAGCUUACUAUGAACCCAACCAAUCCCUAGUUUAUGUUAUAAGAAGACAUGCUAUUUCCAAGUGCCUUCUCAAUUCUAGCACCUAUCCAAAGGAGUUGAGUUGGGUUAUCAUCUUUUAGUCACAGAUAAGAUCUAUGAAAAUUUGCUUCAAAUGAGGGAUUCCCACGAAAUUGAGGAGAAGCUGAAGACCAUAUGUCUUGGAAAGAGCAAUGUUGGAAGGCCAAGAUCUCAUGCGCUUAGAAGGAAAGCAUGCCUUGAAUAAAGGCGGGACCUUGUUAUGGUCAAUAAGACUGGGACCUAGGAGAAAGCAACCACUUAUACCUUUAGCAGCAUCCAAUAGGUUAAAGUGAGAAUCUUUGGCAUGUUUCCCUGUUUGGAGAGCAACCAAAUUGUUGAGGUAGUUUGAUGAGUCAAAGUUGGAGGCUUUCUUUGGUGCCAUGGCGAAUGAUGAAGUAAAGACGAAAGGGAAUCGCGAAAGAGAAUUUGGAAAUAGGGCAAGAAAAUGAAAUACAAUAAUGGGAUCCUUAAGAAGAUUUGGUAAAAGACGAUGUCUCAGGGAAGAAAGAGUAAAAAAGUUACUUACGAAAUUAGAGGAGACAUGUCAAGAUAAUACAAGGAAUGAAAAUCCAUAUAAGAGAAAAGACGUUAGAAGACAAAAAGGCAUGAUCGCAUUAGAAAGCCACACGGAAAAGAGGUGUUACUUUAGAAGAAAUAAAUUCAAGUAUAUUUUUUUUCAAAAGGGGGCAUAGUUGACACCCAAAAUUAUCCCUAGUAUCACGUGCUAGCCACGAGUGGAUAAUAAGUAAAAUGCUCUGUUUCGUUCAUAAAGUCGAGUAAAUAGCUUUCAUGGAGGCUACUUAAGUUGAGCAUCAAUGGAAUUCUAAAAGUGAGUUCUAAAGUUGAUGGCCAAAUAACUUAUUGCUACGUGUCAAGCCAUGGGGAUAGUGCACCAUAUUUGAAGAUUAAGUGAAAUUAGCAUUAAAACUUAAGCGAGAAUAACUGUUGCGAGAAAUGCCUGUAAAAAUAGGGAGCAAUUAUCUACUUGAUGGGCAAGUAGCAUAGGCAUUGUCAAUAAGUCGGAAAGCGGUUAUUCAUGGAUAAAAAUGCCAACAAGGAAUGGAAAAUGUUAAAAGUGAUGCCCAAGUAAAGGAAACCAACUGAUUGCUACCAGUUCAUCCUAUAAAUGCCAUAGUCUAUUCAACAAAGAGUCUCCUGAACAACACAACAACUAUCUUUACUUUAUCGAAUUUUUAGCUAUAGUUUUCAAGAUUCCUGUCAUCAAUUAAAUUCCAACAUGCAUCUCUAUCCGGUCCAACAUCGUCAAUUAAAUUCCAAUAUUAUUCCACGAGCCCAACAUAGUUGAUUAAAUUUCGAUGUUGUGUUUCCUGUCCAAGGGUAUUGCUAUUGAUUAAAUUUCUUCUUUAUUCCUAAAACAAGCUAUGUCUUAGAUUAAAUUUUGACAUAGUUUGAGUUCGAAACAUAGGCUAUCUAGUUACUAGUGUCCAGAUUACAUUAUCAAUUAGAUUCUUGUGUAAUUUGUGCCCAAAAUCAAUUAGUCUUUGAGCCUUCCAAGUAUCAAUCAUCAGGAUUGUAUAUACAAGUUGAUAAUAAAAUUUUCCUUUGCAUUUGACAUUCUCUAUUUAAAUUCAACACAAGAUCUGAGUCUCCUAUAAUAAAACCAAAGCAUAGUGUUUGGUGAAAGAUUUUCCACGAAAAUUAAAAUCGACGAAACACAUUACCUUUCAUACAUCGGAUCAAGCACACCUCUUCAACUCGACUGGCGGCUAAGAAAUUUGGUUGGGAUUCGUGAUGGACCAAUGGCGACUUUGAAUGGAAGUCGAGACCAAGACCUUUCGCUCUUCUCGACAAGCAAGAUAUAACUAGUCGAUUAACGCUCGGCAAGGUCCUUUAAGUGUAAAUGUCCAUCCAAUAUACACCAACUUAGAGUAUGUUUUACCCACUACCUACGAUGAUGAACAUAACGAGCGAAGUCUUUUCCAGAUGGAAAAGUACAUUAGAAGUGCCUUAACUUGUGUAUGGUGCUCACUUUAGUGCCACAACUUUUUGUCGGCUAAACUUUAAUGCCAAAAUCAGAGAAAAACGAUCACUUAAGUGCAUUCAAUGAAAAAUCCUUCCCAAAAUAGUUAUGUGGCAUUUACAAUUAAAAAAAUGGCUGAGUUGGAAUUUUUUUAAAGUUCCAAUCUACGUGGACUAGCCAAAUGGUGACGCUUAGUCCAACAUGGCUGGGUUGGACUAAAUGUGCCACACCACAUCAUUUGCCCAAAAUGAUGCCACACGAUGCUACUCCAAAUGAACAAAAAUUAGGGCUGUGAUCAUGUUACUUCAUCGUUGAUGUCGCUUUCUCUCUGAACAUCGCUCACCCUCGCUUGUCGCCGCUUGCUUGCUAGCCAUCACUCGCUCACUUGCCGUUAUUGCUCGCCGCGUCCUCACUUUCAUUUAGUCAAGUUAGUUGUCAUUCAUUGCCUCCUCCUUGCUUUGAGUGAGUUAGUCAUAGGGAAAAAAUUUAGGGGUUGGGGAGGGAAAAAAUUAGGGUUUGAGUGAGGAGGGAAAAAUUAGGGUUAUUAGUGGUCAUUGCCUCAUCGCUCUUUUGGCUACAAAGCUAGUAAUGUCCGGACCUUGAUAUAAAAUAUAUCAACCCCUUAUUGCUCUAUUAUUGCUUUUUGUCUGAUAAAAGACAAAGCGCAAGUUAAUUUUUUUUUUUAAAUUAGGUGUCCUGUGGGGACCUCCAUGUUGAGUUGUAGAUCAUCCUUUUUGUUGUCCUAAAAGCUAAUUUUUUUUUCUUGGGUCUAGGGUUAGCAUGGGGGAUAACAGUAUCAUAGGCGUCUAGCGUCAUUAUUAGAUAUGGUGAGGAAUUCAUCAUUGGCACCGAUGAAUGGGAAUAUGCUGGUGGAAAUGAGGGGACUAUUUAUGUCGAUGUGAGUAAGCCAUCAUAUAUUAGUUUUGCGAGAGAGAUAGUAUAUCAGUUUUGUUGCAAAAUAGGAAAAUUGCACUAUUGUCUUCUUGGGAAAGAAUUGAAGGAGGGUUUGAGAACCUUUGAUGAUGAUAAUGAUAUAAAGGACAUUAUUUACUAUUAUCUUCAUAGCGAAGAAGCUACAAUAUAUGUUGAGUAUUACAAAGAUGAUGAAGCUGAUAAAGACAAAGAUGGUGAAGAUGAUGAGAGUAUUCAAGUAGGAGAAGUAUAAGGUAGUGUUGAACCGACUACUAAAAUUUGGUUUGGAUCUAUUUUAAAUGAAGGAUAGCAGCUUGCUCGAGUUAGGGAAGAGACGGAGGCAGGGCAUAGAGAAUAGUCAAGAAGAGUGUUUGGUGAAGACAUAGGUGACGAAGAAUUCAUUAAAUUAGACCACCGCACUGAGUGGCGCUGUUGGCUUCGGGCUUUCUCCCCCUCACGAAGGGGAGAAGUUCAAAUCCCCAACACGUCGCAGGUGGACUUACCCGCUUCACGAGGGUAGUGGUUCCUUCAUAGGCCUCAGGGUUUGCUCGCCGGCUAUCGGUUACGGAUUUCCCUGGGUCAUCAAAAAAAAGAAGAAAGAAUUCACUAAAUUAGAGUGAGAAGUUGCUCUAUCUAGUAAAUCAGAUGAUGAAACUUUGCAAGAUGUGAAUUACCAAAGUGAUGACAAUGAUGAGGAGUUUACACAAUCAAGGCAAAAGCAAAGGGACUUUCAAAAGAAUAAAAUUAUAGCGUUGGGAGAAUCGCAUGAAUAUGAACCUCUAAAUGGAGAUGAAGGAUCUCUAGUUGAUGGUAAUCAAACCGAUUAUGAAAAAAGUGCCAGUGAUAACAAGAUUGACAGUUCAGAGAAUGAAGAUGCCGAAGGAGCUAUGCAUUGGAGGAAAAGUAAGUAUCCCUGUUAUGAUCCUACUACUGCAUGUCCUAUAUUAACUAUUGGUAUGACAUUCGAUGAUACGAAGCAGUUCGAAGAAGCUAUUGUGAAAUAUUCAAUUGCUGAAAAAAUGAGUGUUGAAUUCGUUAGAAAUACUAAUAAAUUUGUAAGAGCUAGGUGUUCACAACGAAAUUGUUCAUGGAAUAUCUAUGGUGCAGUGAAUAAGAACAUCGGAUUGUUCGAACUUAGGUCUUUCCAAGAUGAACAUUCUUGUUCCAUUGUGUUUGAAACAAAAGGGUAACUAGUGCAUGGUUGUUGAAGCACUUCUUCAACACCAUCAAGGUGAUGCCUCAAAUGAAAAGUCCUCAGCUCAAGCAAUUAGUGAAGGAGCAUGUAGAAGUAAAUGUGUCCAAAAACUAGUGCAAAAGAACCAAACAUAGGGUGAUGAGUACACUAAUGGAUUUGGGAUUAUGCUGCUUCAAAACUCAUCCAGUAGAAUAUAUGUAGAAGUUGUCGAAAAGCCAUUACCUAACCAUGGAACUAAGUUUGAUGGGAUUUAUGUUUGCUUUGAUGCAUGCAAGAGAGGAUUUUUGGCUGGUUAUAGAAGAGUCAUAGGGUUGGAUGGAUAUUUUUUGAAAGGAUUAUGCAAAGGAGAGUUUUUUGCUGCCAUUGGGAGAGAUGCUAAUAACUAGAUGUUUCCAAUAGCAUGGACUGUUAUGAGGGUAGAAAACAAGGACACUUUGUCUUGGUUUAUGAAGAAUAUAAUGCUGACUUAGAUAUCCAUAAUGAGGAAGGUUGAGCAUUCAUGAGUGACCAAUGGCAGGUAAUACUAUUAUCAAUCGUUUGCUUUUUCAUAUUAUUUACUUAUUUUAACUUAUAAAUAUUUAUUUAUGCAAUUAUUGUAGGGACUUGUUCUAGCAUUAGUUGAGUUGAUGCCACAUACUGAAUAUAGAAUGUGUGCCAGACAUAUUUAUGCAAACUAGGCAAAGAACUAUAAAGGAGACAGGCCACAGAAGCAAUUUUGUUUUAUAGCAAGAAGCACUAAUAUGACUGAUUUUAGAAUACAUAAACAGGGCUUGCUUGGGUUGACUAGGGAAUGAUUUGAAGUAUUAUUCCAAACUAAACCUAAAUUUAGUGUAGGGCAUUCUUCAACGAAGAAUUCAAGUGUGACAUUAUUGAUAACAACCUUAGUGUUUAAUGGAAGAAUCUUAGAGGUUAGGUGCAAACCAAUCAUCACUAUACUUGAAGAUAUAAGAAUAAUAGUCAUGAUUAUGCUUCAAAGGCAAAGGGAUGAGGAUAUAAAGUGGACCAAAGAGUGUGGUCCCAGGAUUGUAAAGAGAUUAGAGGAGAACAUGGUUGUUAGUAGAUUCUGUCAUCUGAUUUGGAAUGGAGAUGAUGGAUAUAAGAUAAUGUACGAUGCUAAUAAGUAUGUUGCUUAGCUCGAGGGAAGAAAGUGUUCAUGACAUGCCUGGCAACUGACUAGAAUUUCAUGUGUGCAUGCCAUUUGUACCAUCCAACUGAAGCAUCAUAGUCCAAAUGACUACCUACAUGAUUGCUACAAGGGAAGUACAUAUGUUGCUUCCUACCAACACAUGUUGCAACCAGUCAGAAGUAGCAUAUUUUGGGAACCCACAACUCACGAACCCAUUUAGCCUUCACCCUUAAAAAAACAAAUGGGUAGGCCAAAAAAGAGACGUAGAAUGCAGGAGGGAGAGAUCUUAAGUAAGAAGAUGGGCAUGAUGGAUCUGAAAAUAAAGUGUUCUUAUUGUCAUGAUGAAGGGCAUAAUAAGGUUGGUUAUCAUUUAAAGAAGGUACAUCAACAGCAACGACCAUCUACAGGGGUUGAGGAAGGGUCAACUGAAAGGACAACUACUAAAGAGCCAACUGAAGAAUGGACGAUUGAACGGCCAAGUGAAAAGACAGUUGAAGUAUCGGUUGAAAACCAAACGUAGGGCCAACCCCUGAUGCAACAGUUGCACUGAUAAUGAAUAAAUAUCCUAUAAGUUAUAUAAUUUCUAUUGUGUGUGUCAUGUUGUGGGUUGGCUAUAUGUGUUAUAUUGUUUUAUGGGCUGCUCUUAGGUGAUAGUUUCUGUUGUGUGUGUAUAUUUUUGGGCUAGUUGUGUGCGUUAUAUUGUUUUAUGGGCUAGUUAUAUGUUUAAGUGGUAGUUUAUGUUAUGUGUAUAAUGUUGUUUAUGGGUUGAUUGUGUGUGUUAUAUUCUUAGGUGAGAAGAAGACAAGCUGCACAAGUUACUCAAGUUGUUGAUAUUGAUGCACCGAACUGGAGGAUUUAUCAAGAGAAGAAUAAGCAUUUAUAUAAAUUUCAACAUUGGAAUGACUAUUUUGAAUGUAAGUUUUGUAAGUAUCGUGCAUUUAAUUUAUGAUACUGGUGUUGACAAUAUGAUUAUAUUGUUGUAGUCUAGGAGAAUUUUGGAGGUACUCAUCUCUCAAGAUGGCCUAAGCCAAGAGUCAACGGUUGCACCCAAAAGAAGAACCACAACAAUGUCAAUUGGAGCACAAUCGAGUAAGAAGAGUGCUUCAAAGCAAAUGACACGAGCAGCAGGUCCAACGACAAGAACACAAUUGAGAAAGAAGAGUGCUCCAAAACAAAUGACACAAGCGGCUACUCUAGAACAACCACACAAAAAAAAAAUUCAACACUAGUAUCAUCUUAAGGAACUGAUGCUGGCAGUUCCAAAACAACUAGUGACAUCACCUUUAAGAAUGUGGUACCUACUAAGAAGAAAAAGCAAAAGCAUAGGACAAAAAAACUAGUACAAUAACCUCCAGGUCUAGUUGCAGUUAAGAAGAAUGUGAGGAUUCAAGCCAAAAGUCUAUCAAGAAAAUGGACUAGAGGGGUUGUGAAUUUUGACGAAUGAUGGGACAGUGCUAGAUAUGGUUGUUUCUAAUUUUUGUUGGGAGGUUGCUAUUGACUUAAGUUGAUAUUCUUAGGCAUCCAAUUACUUUUUUUAUUUUAUUGUUUAGUUGGAACCCAACCACUGGAAGUGGAUAUUGUAGUUGGAUAUUGAACCAAUGUAAGACACUAUGUUCAAUGUCAAUGAAUCGAUGUUUAUUUUGUCUAUAUUUUUCCAUUGGCGAAAUAACGCUUCAAGUGCCAUAACUUUGCUCAAAUGGACACUUAAGUGCCAUAACUUAUGAAAGGUACACUUAAGUGCCACAUUUAAAGAAAAAUAGAUCACUUGAGUGCCACUUCGGCCAAAGUCCGGCUAAAACGCCGAUGUGGCUAAAUAAUGCAAAAACGGCGUCGUUUUAGGCUGACAUAGUAAAAUAAUAAUAAUAAAAUUAAUUAAAUUUAAUUAAAUUUAAUUUAAAAAUAAAUUUGGUUAAAAUAUUUAAAAUUAAUAAUUUUAAAAUUAAAUUUAGUUAAAAUAUAAAAAAUAAUAAAUUAAAAAUUUAAAAAAAAUUUAAAAAAAAGGAAAUGGGGGGUAGGCGGUUGAGGGAUUAGCCCUUAGCCGCCGCCGCCGGGAAGGGCUGGCAACGACAGGGGCCAGGGCUCGGCGACCUCGGCCGACCGGCGGCGAGGGCUCGCGAGCCCUCGCCCCAAGCGAGGGUCGCGACCCUCCCCAAAUUUGUGGCUAGUGGCAAGGGCUGCAACCCUCACCCCGAUCUCGCAAGCCCCCGCCGCCGGUCGGCCGACCCUCCCCCCUCCAUCGCCGGCCCUUCGCGGCGGCUGAGGGCUGAUCCCUCAGCCACCUCCCACCCUUUCCCUUUUUUUUUAAAAAAAAAAUUAAUUUUUUUUAUAUUUUAACUAAAUUUAAUUUAAUUAAUUUUUUUUAUUUUUUAUCACAUCAGUCCAAAACGACGCCGUUUUUGCAUAUGGCGUCGUUUUGCGCUUGAUUCGCUGGAAAAAUGCCACACCGGCAUUUUGGCCGGACUUUGGCCGGAUUAGCACUCAAGUGAUCCAUUUUACUCCGAUUUUAGUACUUAAGUGUACCUUUCGUAAGUUAUAACGCUUAAGUGUCCCUUUGUGCAAAAUUAUGGCACUCUAGGGAUCCGCAUGUAUUUUUCCAUUUACACAUAUUUUGCUUUUGGUUGUGGUGGUAUGCUAAUUAUGUUGGUGGUGAUGGUUUUGUUGGUAUUUCUAGAUGUGCUAGUUUGUUCAUGGUCAUACUUGGUGUUGAUGCAGUGCUUGGUGUAAGCUCAAGGUGUUGAUGCUCCUAUAUUCCAUUUGUAGUGCUUGGUGUUGCUACAAUAACUUGCUACUGUAGGAUAUGCUGAUACAAGCACAAAAUACUUUGUGUUGAUACAUUAGCUUAUUGGUGUAAGGUGUGCUGGUGUUUGAUGUAGUAGCUUGCUAGUGUAGGCUGUGCUGGUACAAGAUGCUUAUUAUUGAUGCAGCAAGUUGUUAGUGUAGGGUGUGGGACAAGAUGCACAAGUGACCACUUUCAGCUAAAAUUGGCACUCACUAACAAUCAUAUCUAAAAGUUUAUGCACCACGAGUGAUCGCUUUUAUUAUUAUUAUUAUUAUUAUUAUUAUUAUUAUUAUUAUUAUUAUUAUUAUUAUUUAUGAUUGGCACUGAAGUGAUUACUUUCAGCUAAAAUUGGCACUCAUACGAUAAUUAUUUACAACUUAUGGCACUGAAAUAAACACUCGAGGACUUUGUACCACUUCUUCAUUUCACCAUUGUUUGCAUAAAAAAUUGUAGCAAUCCAAUAAACCCAUUUAUUAACAAGCAUUGCAGCAAACCAUUACCAGCAAACAAUUACAACAAACCAAACAUCUCAAACAAAACUAAACAAACCAAGUUUCAUACACAACUAAGCAAGACCAAUAUUCCGACCUUCCAUUUUCAUCAUUUCCACCAUAAAUUAUAUACAAAAAUUGCAGCUUACCAAUAGCACAACUAUACUCAUAGAUUACCCAAUAUAAGUACAUAUUCCAUUAAUCUUUAACUAUGGUAGACUGAGUAACUUAUUUUCAUCACACACUUUAUAUUUGAUCACCAAAUAGGCUACCCAAGUGAACAAAAAUACAAACAAUACUUGAUAAUAGUUCCUUUCAAUUUUCAUCCUUGAAACUUCCUUCUUCGACUGAUUGGCCAAAGAUUCUGAAGCAUUCAUUCGAGCUUGCAUUGAGUCGACACCAACUCACCGAUUAUUCUAGGUGGAGGUUCAUGUUAUUGUUCAAGUAGCUCCAAGAUCACCUCUUUUGCUCGACUAGAGAAUUUCACAUUAACCCAUUUAAAAUAUUUGCACUCUAAGCCUUCUCUAUUCCUAUCGCCUCCAUGAAAUCUUCUCUGGAGAUUCAAUCAAGUCCAAGAUAUUCUUACUGGACUUGGUAAUCCGCAAUGACAAUAACACUCACCUUCUUCUUCACUUCGUUGAAACGAAUUUGAACUGCUAUUGAAGCUCCUACCCUUUAUUUGCAAGAUUGAGUUGUUCACUUUGGGAUAAAUCGACUUAGGGUGGGAUUUGGGUUGAAUGGCCGGUUAAGGCUUCAAUUGUGGGUUCCUCUUUCAAUUUAGGGAUUUAGGGUUCUUAGUUGAGGGAAAAUAAGUAAGACGACGUCAUUUGUGGUUUGGUUGCUGACUAGAGCCUCUAGCGAGCCACGUCGGAAUAGGAAAUUAAUAAGAAAACUCCACGUUAGAUAUCUAGUCAAGUAGAUCGGUGAUGGCACUAAAAAGAUUGUUUUUCAAAAAAAUUGACAAUAAAGUGACCUAACGAAAAGUUAUAGCACCAAAGUGAGCACCGUACACAAGUUAAAGCACUUCUAGUGUACUUUUUCUCUUUUUCAAAGUACUUUCUGCAUAAAAUUCAUGUGCAUGGAGAGUCAAUAGACACCCAACAUGACCUUAUUUGAUAAUGCCUUUAUUAAUUUAAUCAUGCUCAUUGAAUAUCAACCUACAACCCCAAUGUGGCCUUUGGAUUGUCAUCUCCCCAUCACAUGUUCUUGGAUUCUUCUCCAACUUAUUUUAAAUCGUAAACUUAAAAAUUUGGGAUUGAUUUCAUGACAAAUCUCCUAAAACGUAAACCUCACGGAGGCGACUAAAUUUUGGCCGAAAUGAGAUAGACGGAUUUAGGCCUGGAACCUAGAAAUCAAUGAUAACAUCACCAGAAUGUCCUAUUGAAAAGGAAGCUAAAUUGCAAGUUGGGAAGAAAUUGUCUCAUGCUAUGACCACUUGUCUUAGUCUUUGCUUUUGCCUUUUGCUUCCCACUUCCCUUUUUUUUCCUUUGUUUUAAAGCCUAACUUGGAGCUUAGUGUGCUCUUUCAAUCAAACCCUUUUUUGGGUCCUUUUAAUUAAGUCUUUUUUCUUGAUUAGAGGCUUACGCUUGAUCAUCUUCUUGACACUUUCUUAAACACGUCAAAUCAAUGUCUCAUCGUCUCAUUGUAAGCUGUCCUUAUCAUGCCUUAAUUUUGGCAUUUUGGUCUCUCCAUUUAUCCCUUUUCUAUUGUUCUCUUUGCCAGUCAAAUUGAACGUGUAAGACGGGCUAGAAAAAGAAAAUGGAAAGAAAGUUCCAUCAUCUAAAGGACCUUUGAGGAUUAAAGAUCACUUUCUUUGCUUGCCUCAGUAGAAGGUGCCCAUGUUGAAAGUGACUAGCAAAUUGUUUUCUUAGGUAUAGAAAAUUUCACAUUGACUAGGGUAGGUGACGAUUGCCGACCCCUCGCAAGGGCCAGCGUGCCCAAAUCUGGGCACCCUCACCCAAGCUUGGUGAGGGUCACCAGCCCUCGCCAAGCUCAGGGCCAGCGACCGUCGGCGACCCCUCCGGCGAGGCUGCCAUUUUUUUUUCUUUUUUUUGAACUAUUUUCUUUUUUAAAUAAAUUUUCUUUUUUCUUUUUUUAAAUAAGAUAAAAUGAAUAACUCUAAUUUUUAGUUUUUAAAUCUAUUUUUUAAAUGAAUAAAAAUAAUUAAAAAAAGCCACGUGAAAAAUAAAAAUUAAUUAUAAAUGCCACAUCAACAUUUUUAACAGAAAAGGCUAACGGCGUUGAUUUUAGAACUCAAAUGAAAUAUUUUGACAAGUUUUAGGACUUCCGCAGCACUUAUCUCUUCUUCUUCUUUUUCUUCUUCUUCUUUUUAUCAUGAUUGGCACUGAAGUGAUUACUUUCAACUAAAAUUGAUACUGAUACGAUAAUUAUUUACAACUUAUGACAAUGAAAUAAACACUUGAGAACUUUGUAUCACUUCUUCAUUUCACCAUCGUUUGCAUAAAAAAUUGUAGCAAUCUAGUAAACCCAUUUAUUAACAAGCAUUGCAGCAAACCAUUACCAGCAAACAAUUACAACAAACCAAACAUCUCAAACAAAAACUAAACAAACCAAGUUUCAUACACAACUAAGCAAGACCAAUCUUCCGACCUUCCAUUUUCAUCAUUUCCACCAUAAAUUAUACACAAAAAUUGCAGCUUACCAAUAGCACAAUUAUACUCAUAAAUUACCCAAUAUAAGUACAUAUUCCAAUAAUCUUUAACUAUGGUAGGUGGAGAAACUUAUUUUCAUCACGCACUUUAUAUUUGAUCACAAAAUAGGCUACCCAAGUGAACAAGAAUACAAACAAUACUUGAUAAUAGUUCCUUUCAAUUUAUAUCCUUGAAACUUCCUUCUUCGACUGGUUGGCCAAAGAUUCUGAAGCAUUCAUUCGAGCUUGUAUUGAGUCGACAUCCACCAACUCACCCAUUAUUGUAGGUGGAGGUUCAUGUCAUUGUUCAAGUAGCUCCAAGAUCACCUCUCUCGCUCGACUAGAGAAUUUCAUAGCAGCCUAUUUGAAAUAUUUACACUUUAAGCCUUCUCUAGACCUAUUGCAUCAAUGAAAUCUUCUCCCAGGAUUCAAUCGAGUCCAAGAUGUUCUUAUUAGACUUGGUAAUCCGCAAUGACAAUAACACUCACCUUAUUCUUCACUUCGUUGAAACAAAUUUAAGCCGUUACUAAAGCUCCUGCCCUUUAUUUGCAAGAUUGAGUUAUUCAUUUUGGGGACAAAUCGACUUAGGGUGGGAUUUUGGUUGAAUGGCCGGUUAAGGCUUCAAUUGUGGGUUCCUCUUUCAAUUUAGGGAUUUAGGGUAUUAUUUGAGAGAAAAUGAGUAAGACGACAUCAUUUGUGGUUUGGCUGCUAACUAGAGCCUCCAGCAAGCCACGUCAAAAUAGGAAAUUAAUAAGAGAACUUCACAUCAGAUUUCCAGUCAAGUAGAUCAGCGAUGGCACUAAAAAUAUUGUCUUUCAAAAAAUUUGACAAUAAAGUUACCCGGCGAAAAGUUAAAGCACUUCUGGUGUACUUUUUCUCUUUUUCAGAGUACUUUCUGCAUAAAAUUCAUGUGCAUGGAGAGUCGAUACGACACCCAACAUGACCUUAUUUGAUAAUGCCUUUAUUAAUUCAAUCAUGCUCAUUGAAUCGUAAACUUAAAAAAUAGUGAUUGAUUUCAUGACAAAUCUCCUAAAACAUAAACCCCACGGAGGCGACUAAAUUUUGGCCGAAAUGAGAUAGACGGAUUUAGGCCUGGAACCUAGAAAUCAAUGAUAACGUCACCAGAACAUCCUAUUGAAAAGGAAGCCAAAUUGCAAGUUGGGAAGAAAUUGUCUCCUGGUGUGACCACUUUCUUAGUCUUUGCUUUUGCCUUUUGCUUCCCACUUCCGUUUUUUUUUCCUUUGUUUUAAACCCUAACUUGGAGCUUAGUGUGCUCCUUCAAUCAAACCCUUUUUUGGGUCCUUUUAAUUAAGUCUUUUUUCUUGAUUAGAGGCUUACGCUUGAUCAUCUUCUUGACACUUUCUUAAAUGUGUCAAAUCAAUGCCCCAUUGUCUCAAUGUAAGCUGUCCUUGUCAUGCCUUAAUUUUGGCAUUUUGGUCUCUCCAUUUAUCCCUUUUCUAUUGUUCUCUUUGCCGGUCAAAUUGAACGUGUAAGACGGGCUAGAAAAAGAAGACGGAAAGAAAGUUCUAACGUCUAAAGGACCUUUGAGGAUUAAAGAACACUUUCUUUGCUUGCCUCAGUAGAAGGUGCCCAUGUUGAAAGUGACUAGCAAAUUGUUUUCUUAGGUAUAGAAAAUUUCACAUUGACCAGAGAUAGUUGAGUAUCGAAUCUCAUCCCCAUAGAUUUCAAGCUUAUUGACGUUUGAGGAUUCCAUUUUACUGCUCUUGGACCAUCAUAUGUCUUGAGGCUUACCAAGACCUAGUCUGCGCGUAAUUCUGACAUAUUCAUAAGUACAUCACGAUCUAGGAAGUAACAACUAACUAAUUGAGUAAAAAUUGAGUGCAUGACAUAUCUAGCCAAACCAAGUUUUAGUAUGAGCAAUGAAUUUUUGGCAAUAGUGAAUUUUGCUAUUUCAUCACUAUUUAAAAUAUUGCAUAAACUUUAGAAAAUCAUGAAAAAGAAAUAAACAUGAAUCUCUUUGUAGGUAUAUGUGCGGGGUGAAAGUUUCGAGUGUUUCGAAGUUUGAAAAUGUCUAAAUGCCAUCAUCGCAAGAAUCAAAUUAAGAAGGAAAGAAAAGUGAAAAAAAUGAAAUUCAAUCUAAAAACAGACUGUCAUGUAUUGGCCCGAUCAAAUUCAAUCAAGUCGUCCUCGAUUCGGCCCAACAGAAGGUCGCUGUAUUCAAUAAAAGAAAUUGGGCCGAAUUCUGGCGGAUCGCGAAAUCUAGCCUAAUGGAAGGCCCAAAUAUGGACCCGGCCCAUGUAUUCUGGCGUGAACUGGGUCCGACCCACAUCGACUCGACGUGCACGGAGCUGAUGAUCUGACGAGGGUCCUCUAUCAAUCCUCUUUCCAUCUUCCUCUUCUUCUUUCUUUGUCUUCUUCAACCCUCGCCAGAGCUUCUCUUCUCUUCACCAUCACACUGAAUCAAGCGGCUCUUGCCGGAGACCAGACCGGAGCGUCAAUGGCGAAGCAAGAAUUCCGUUGGAAACGAUCGAUUUUUAAAGGAAAUUAGUGGAGAGAGAGAGUACACCUCCCUUAACAAACAUAGCCCGAGUCAUUUGACUUAACAAAUGGAGCUGAAAGCCCAACUAGGAGCUAAGAGCCCUAUCCUUUUUGAUAGGUAAAUCCAGCAUUAAGUUUGAAUAAGCUUAUCUAUAGUCGAGUGUUGGCAACUCGAAUUUGAAAUUCCUUUGAUUUGAAAUUUUGUUACUCCGCAAUAUUUAGAGAGCAUGGUGGUUUUGGAAAUCAUCAAUUUCAUGUUCAAUCACCACGUCUUAUUUUCUCAGUCAAUCCAACGAAUUCCGAAUGAAGGUCUUCAUUUAUAUUAAUUCAUUCUUUCUGAAGAGGACAUGAUAUAAUUCAUAUGCUUUGUUUGAAUGUUAUAAUUUGGCUAAGAACUCCAAAAAUCCGUAAGAUUGUCAUUAUUCCAAUUGAAAAUAAUCAAUUCACGUGUCUAUUUAAUCAAGUGGAUUUGACACGAUUCUUGUAUGGGUUGUGCAAGGGCAAUAUUACAAAUUUAGAUAACCAUAACGAGACAACAAGAAGACAACAUGCUCCCAGCCUUGAGUGCCUUUUUAAACUAAACUAACUAUAAGAAAAUUCAAACGCAAAUGCAAUAUAUUUUCCCUUAAAAUACCUUAUAUAUGUCUAUUAUAUAGGACAAAAGAGGUAGGCCAAGGAAGCAUCCAGAGCAACCGACAAUUGAAGGAGGGACAUCUAAGAAACAAAGUGGAAAUACCUCAACUAGAUUUGUAAAAGGACAAUUAAAUGUGGUCUGAUUUGAAAAGAGGAGAAUGAGUAGUCCACCGGUACAAUUACUGUGAUUUUUUAUAAUACCAAAGUAAAAUGUUAAUAUGGUUUGCCUUCUUAUAUGUUCUACAAGAACAUGGAUUUUACGUAUCUGAAGCCAUUGGAAACUCAUAUUUGAGGGUGAACAUUUUGUUUUGUUAGGAUUUUUUAAUUCACUAUGAUUAGCAUACAAACAUUUUGUUUUUCUCUCAAUUUUCAAAUGCCUAGUAGUAACAUAGAACAAGAAAUUCAUCAAGGUGGUGUGAAUCUUACUAUGGAUCACAAGAAAUUCAUCAAGGCGGUGCGAAUCUUACCAUGGAUCUUUCAAGUCAAGUUUUGAACCCCUCAAACUGAACAAUCUCAAAGUGAAGCAAGGCAUUGAACCUAUAUGAGAGUUGGAUGCUUGGUGUAAAGCUCGUUUUGAAGCUUGUUUUGUAAAGCUUGUUCAAGUCUGGCAUAUAUUGACUUUUUUUUUUAUUUUAUGGUUGUGAUAUAGAACAUGCUUUUGGACCUCUAUUGUCUGGUAUGGAUUGUGCCUUUUUGGGCUAUUUUGCUGCAUGGAUGUCUAGUGUAGAGGCUAUUAUAUGUAAAGUUUGUUGAAGUCUAGCAUGAAGGCUAUUUUGUAAAGCUUUUUCAAAUAUAUAUUCAUUUCUGAUUUUAGUUUCAUUCUCUCCAUUAUGUGUAAAGAGAGCCUCUGACAUGUAUGCAGAAUUCAAAGACCAUAUUGAAUAAAUCGAAAGUUGUCGAGUUAGGUUAAAUUUCAAGAACCAAAUUGAAUUAAUUGGACCAAAGUUCACAUGUCGAUUAGUUACGUCUAUACGAUUUCAACGAACUUAAUUGAGCCUGGCGGUGGCCCGGGGUCUCUUAACGGAAGCGAAGCCGCUGUAAUCAUCCAACUUUUUGUAUUCUUCAUCUUCUUAUUGUGGGUCUGCUUGAUUCCUCCGCAAAUUUGAACGAAAAUGGCGGUUUUCCCUGGAAAUCUCUCCCUCAAGAUGACACUUCAGCUUCAGAGCAGGGUCCUCUCCUUCCCAUGGUGAGUGAUUUCUCUAUAAUCGACCCGAAUUUAAUAGGAUAUCGUUCUAAGGCUGAUUCAACAAUAGUAUUGAAGGGUUUUUCUUUUUUUUUCUUUUUUUUUCUGGUUGGGUUUCUAGAGUUAGGAAGAGUGGGGCAAUCCAAUGUUUCGGAAGGAGGGACCUUGGUUCUUCCGUUCCUGUCAGGUACGUUCCCAAAGUACCUUCGAAAGGGGACAAGGCUGACAAGCAUGAGAAACCUCAAACUCCACCAGCCAAGAGUCCAGAGAUACGUGAAGCUCGAAGCAUAUCAAAUGCUGAUGCGAUGAGGUCUCAGGUUUAUCGUGAAGGUAAAGGAGAAGCAAUUGUAAAUGGUUUAGUGUGUGCGGAGAUUCGGAGUCCUGUGGACAAGCGGAUGCCAGUCGUCGAUGUUAUCGAUGCUACGCCCGGUAGGAAUGGAUUGAAUUAUAUUUGGAUGUGAUGUCGAGGUUAUAAGAUUGUGCUUAAUAUGCAGUUCUCUCGAGGAUAGUGUAAUGGGCAUGAAGGGUUAUUUCUAUCUUGGUAUGAUCCUCUCCAUUUCUUCUGUUGAUGAAAAUCAGGGUUUGAAUUUGCAGGGAUUAAAAAUUGAAUUGUGGUAUUGGGUCUUCUUAGUUUUACUUGUAGUUAGUUCUCUAUAUAUUUCCUUUUAAGCUGUUGCAGCUCUUGCUGCAUGUCUGUGCCAUGCUUGCACGAGCUGUGCCCGCCAAGUAUGACGACACAUCUGUGUGAGCUCAGGUGCAUCUGUGCUUGUGUGCUUGCUUUUUAGGUGCGUCAUGUAUGAUUUUUCAAAAUGAGUAGGUACACUGUUACAAUGAGCAUCAGCUCUCGCGUUACAUCACUACAUCUGUUUUCUUAACAAGUUUUGCGGGAUUUAAUGUAGCAGUACUUAAUUGUAGGGUUGGGGCAAGAAACCAUUGAGGAUAUCAUUGAGACCAAUGAUGACUUUAUUGAAGGAAUAGAAGCAGAUGCUGACGAGAUUGAAAUUCAUCAAGAGGAUAACAGUAACAUCGGCAGUGAGCUAAGAGGUGGCAAAUCUUGAAAAGAUGCCAAAGAUUUGGCCUUUCAAUUGCUGGCUACCAGGUUUUGAUUAUAUCUUAUGUUACUUAUGAAUAGAUUUGUACCUUCAAAUCAUUGUAAAUUCCAUUCUUAGUUGUUGCGGCAGUAGUAAAUUGCGAGCUAACUAUUAGGCUGGUUAGGCUGUAGGCCCAGUUGUCAAUUUCCAGGCUAAGAACUGAAGAGAUGAGACAGGAAAUCAGAUAAAUCCAUCUUGGCUACUCAAAGCAUGGCUACCAAAUUGUUAAUUUUUCCCCCAUAAGUGAAAUGAUGGGAGAGUGGUUUCCCCCACUCCAACUUGAUGUCCAAAGUUCAAAUCCAGGACCUCUCUCUGUUUGGAGAAGGCAGAUGCCACUAAGGGAACUGGCUCUUGGCUUUCAUAAGAUUGUUGAGAAUGUUCUGAGUAUGAUCAACUCCCUUUAGUACAUCACUGCCACUGACAUUUCUGACUUCUGAAAAAAUGACCAAAGGAAGUUAUAAAAAAAAAAAUCUUCAGUUAACAUCUAAGCGAUGGCAGUAGUAUCUUCUCACGGCUCAUGCCACAGAAAUUUUUUAGAGGUUUUAGUUUUAAUUCCAGGCUCUGGCUACAGGGCAUAUACAGCAGUGGCAAUGACAAAGAAAUUGCAAGGGAAUAGAUUUCCUCCUGCUAUUGUUGAAGCUGUGGCCAAUGAUUUCAAGAGCAGGUUAGUAAAUGAAAAGCAAGAAGAGCAUCCCCAUUGAGGGGCUAGCCACAUUUUGUUUUCUGUAAAUACAUUUUUUUUCUUUUCAUUUUUGUUUUGGGGCCUAGUGGGGCUAGGGGGAUGGGACACUAUGUCAUAAGGUAGUUCUGGUAUAAUAUAUGAACAUGUGCUCGUCGAUAAUUUGUUUCCAUUUUGGGAUUAUUUAGAAUCAUGCUGAUUACAAAUGCAGGAACAAAAUCCAAAAGAUCAAAGAAGCCUCUCCAUCAACUUGUUUUCCAAACAGGACCUUUAUUGUCCAAUUAGGUCUCCUGUCAAGUUGCACUAAUUUAGAAAUUCUAGAAAUUGAUUGAUUGCGGGGUGAUGCAUCUCUGCUUCUCUGCCAGCCAAAAACUGGAGCAUUCAGUGAGAGCUACUACAUUUACACUGUUGAUAUAUUUGUGUCACAUUUCCUAUUUUUUGGUAUAUCUCUUUAUUCCAUCGUGGGAGCAUCAUAAUGUCCUUUUUGAUCGAUGUGCAUUCAUCAUUGAUGAUAUGACAUGGUUUAUCCUCAGAGUGAAAACUUGGAAUGAUUUGUCAGUAAGCUGUUUACAUUGAAGUCAGGAUAUUUCCUUGGAGGUGCAGCCAAUUUUGAGCAUUUUACUACAGUCCUUAGAUGUAUCACAAUAGCUAGCAUAAAGCUAUAACUUUGGCAUAACCAAAGAUAUUUACAUCAGAUGAAGAACCAUAUUUUUGCUCCCCACUAUAUUCAUAUACAAUUACACUCAAGUGAGAUCUGCAUUUAACCUGGUUUGGCAUUUCUAUUGCCUUUCAAUCUAUUGUAGAGGGUUCAUCAAUGAUGGUCUUUAUGCUGAGACGUAUUCACGAUCUAGAUGGUCUUCAUCCUGCUCCUAGGAGAACAAAGCAAGUAUGUAGACUGCGUGCAUCUUUCAAUUGUUCCUUUCUUUUGUGGACUUUUGCAUGCAAGAUCAUGAGUCAGUCAAAAUCUUUAAAUGAUGCUGUUUGUGCCAGUAUUGCCUAUAUUCGCUUUCUUUCUGAUUUUCCUUUUAUAUUAUUUUACAGCUUUUACCAUCCUAAUUGUUUUGUUCGUUUGCCCCCAAGUUUUAGUUAUUGAUGCUAGCCUUUUGGAGUACAAUAAAUUUAGGUCGAAUGGCACUAGCUCCCUCUAACCUUUGCCCAAAAUUCAAAACCGUGCUACUUUUUAAAACAUUCCACACUCAUUCCUUCUGUUAUACUUUUUCUAUUGCUGAUUGAUUUUUGCUGAUGUGGACUAUUGUAUUGUUGACAUGGACUUUAGGAGUACACAUGUCUUGUUAAAAUAAACUCAAUUUUUAUGUGGCGCUAAAAAAUUAGAAAGGUAAACAAACCCUAACCUUAUAUCAUCCACAUCCAAACACUCCCCACCAUUGGCUGCCUCCCUUCCCCACCCUGGCCAUUGCCCCUGCAGCUUGGACAGCCUCACUGAUGUUGAUGGCACCACUCAUUGCUGUUGUGCUCAGAUCUGGUUGUCAUGAUCACAAGCUCGAGCUCAAGUGGCCAUGGAUGCCGUGAGCUUGAGUUUGAGUAGCCAUAGAUGCCUUGAGCUUGAGCUGAUUGCAGCAAUGGACACCGCGAAGUUGAGUUGCGGCCAUGGACGCCAUGAGCUCAGGCGGAUCAUGGUCAUGGACGCCAUGAGUUCGAGUGGUAAGUGGCCAUGGAUGGCGUGAGUUCAAGCUGAAGUGGAUUGCAGCCCUAGAUGCCAUAAGCAAUGGCCAUGAUGACCGGAGCUCGAGCUUGAGUGGCCCUUGAUGCAGCGAGAUUGAGCUCAAGCCAUGGACGCCGUGAGCUUGAGCUGACCGCAGCUGUGGACAAUGAGCAGCCCUUGUUUCCAUGAGCUCGAGGACACGUGACAAUGGAUGUUGCAAGCUUGAGCUCAAGCGGUCAUGGCCAGAAGGGGGGAGGGGGUCAGGUUUGUUUCUUUUAGAAGAAGUCUGCAUAAGUCAACAUUUAGCAGAAUCGAAUCCACGUCAGCAAAUUCCGUCACUAGACCAACUCAAGGACUGCCAUGGACACUUUUUAAAAAAUAGAGUUACGUUUUGAACCAAAAUAGUAGAAAGACGGUUUUAAGUUUUGGGCAAAAAGUUGAGGAACUACUGGUGUCAUUUCACCUAUUUUUACCAUCCAUGAGUUGUUGCUUUUAACAAAUCUAUGUUUAGAAGAUCUGCAUAUGUAUGCAGGAGCUUCAUUAGUUUUUUAUACGUGAUGUAUUGAAAAAGCCAGCAAAUUGUUCACAUUUGUUUGAUUUCCUGUUUGAUGCUAAAAUUUUGAUGCAUUGUGGUUUCUGGAUCAGGAACUGUUCAAGAAUGGAGUCAGCAAAUUUGAUGCUGAGAAAGCUGUAACUGGUUUUUGAGGAGUGUGCUUCUAGCAUUGAGCAAGAGUCAAGACUCGGUCUGUCAAAGGUGGCACUGGAUCACUUAUUUUCUCAGGCCUCAAAGCAGUGGCUCUGAAGUCAUGGUCUGCCCAUUGAUAAGCGGAAAUCAAGGAUUGGGUUCAAUUGGGGUGUUAUAAGCGUCAUCAUGAGAAAAUUAGAAUCCCAGGCUUCUUUGGAGAAGAAAUAAAAUGUACCUUCUGAUGCAAUUCUUCCUCGAAGGAUCAGCAUCUGUUUUGGUGGACAUUGAUUUCACACUAGUCCUCCGCUGCCCUAAAAAUAAUGUCAUUGGAAUCAUCUUAAAUUUCGGAGGGCGCAAUGCAGUUCACCUACAUGUAUUACUGGUCGCGCAAUGGGACUGCAAAAGGAGUCACUCAAGCUGUUCAUUCUGCCAAUGUUGGAUCACAAAGCCAAGGCUUCCUCUUGUUUCAGUAAAUAACAUAACCGUGCGAGCCUGGUUACAGACGCAGGUGAUGUUGUCCACUUGGCAAGUUUAAUGGGAUGUUACUAACCAUAUCUGAGUGAGUGGGUUUUUUCUCUCCUCAUUUAAUGUUCUGUAUUUUAAGUUCGUCGAUUUGCAGUUGUAGAAAUCACUGUGUCUUUGUUUAUCUUGGACAUUUUGCAAUGUCUACACAAGAUCCCCCUCCAGUGAGCAUGGACUUCUAGUCUUUUUUUUUUUUUUCUUUUUUUUUUCCUCAGGAAACUCAUUCCUGUGUAAAUUUGCGAUGUAUCAAAUACCUACAGGAAUCCUGAAAAUUCAAUGAUCUUGGCCAGCCUAAUUUUUGCUCAUCGAUUUCUUCCAAAGUUAGUUUUCAAAUUCCUCUGAAAACAUGUGAUGAAAAUUGGAGUGCACAAAUCCUGUAAGUUGGUAUUGACAAGUUUUCAGGACCUUUGGCCAUGAAAAGUCUUUGUGCAGCUCAUGGGCACGUGACUUAAGAAACUUGGGACCAUGUGAGCAAGGCUGGAAUGUCUGCACACAGAGAGAGAGAGAGAGAGAGAGAGAGUAUAUAUGCCAUUGAUUAUAAGUUGCGUGAUCCAAGAGCACCAAUCAUAAGCUCAAGUACACCAAGACAAGUCAACCCUAGAGAUAGCUUACUUUAUUACAAAACCUUAGGAGUUCCUUCACAUUCCCUGCUUGAUGAUCGUUGAUAUACUGCCUGGAAUGUAAAACUGCCACAAUAUGUCGGGUACUUAAACGUAGAGUAACAUCGAAUCACGAAAAUACAGUAGCUGUACAUAUUCUCCUGCAAGACACGACCCGUGACCCGGGAUUAGCAGAUAAUUGAACCCUGACCAAUUUCCUGUCACACUGAAUCAUCAGAGAAAGCGAAUGAGCAGUUUGAAGAUUCUUGUGAGACAACAUGCCUCAAAGGAGGCGAUGAGCGAACAACUGACAGAACUCCUUUAGUCGCAUCGGAUCCUGGCCGUAUGAGCUCUACAUGUCGAAUUGCCUUCAGCAGAGUAACGACAUCUUUCAUCAGCAGACGAUCAUCAGUCUUGGUAUUUACACACAUUAAAGAUAUAGACAGUGUCUGCAGCAUUUCGUGCGAAACCGGGUCAGGCCUUCCUCUAAGCUUUGGAUCAAGAACAUCCACCGGGUCUCCCUUCCUUGCUACGUGGCCCUGAACCCAUUGCACCAAGUGAGCUCCCCCGGGCAAUGAAGGAUCCAGUGGGUGCCUUCCAGUUAAUACCUCGAGAAGAACCACUCCGAAACUGUAUACAUCGCUCUUCUCAAUAAUUGGUUGCAGGGACGCAU
rnacentral:lncRNA from 1 species